GAAUAUCUGGUGCAGCCGCUUGGCCGUGCUGAAGACGAAGAGCAUUCCAGUGACUUCGAGCCAGAAGAAAAUGGUGAUGGUGCUGAGGACGAGGAGAUUGAGGAUGACGAUGCUGAGGAUGGUGAGGAUCCUGUCAAGGCGCAAUCCUCAUCAAAGAGGAAGAGGUCUGGUGGGGAGGAUGAAGAUGAUGACGACGGUGAUGAUGAUGGUGAUGAUGAUGAGAAGCCUCCAUCAAAGCGAUAGUCAAUUUGUUCGUGCUGAUCUGUGAUCUUCUCUGCUUGGGCCAAGAAGGAAAAUAAUCCUCAUGGAGAGGAUUGUUGGUAAAUGCUGUAGCUUUAGGACAUCUGUGGUAGGUGUAGCAGCUCAAACUUGAGUCUACCCAUGUUAGUUGUUAGUGCAUACUGCUGAUGUUGAUUAACAGCCUCCGGGAACUUCUGUAUGAGCAUUAGAUAUGGGGCUUGUUAUAUGCUUGUGUAGCUUCUGAUUAAAACCUUUGGAAUGUGGAUGCUCUGUUCUGAAUCUUGUUUUCAUGAUAUUUCUCUUGAACUAGCUUGCUGUUAUUUUCUCUUGGUAAUAUUUUUGUUUAAGCGCUUAGAAAACAUUUGCUGUUAUUGGCACUUACAUUCUUUCUUUGAAUUCCCUCAACAAGCCUGAUAACAUUAAAUUAAUUCUAUCACAGUGCCAUUGCUCGCUUAGUGUCAUGGCUGUUAGCUCUGGCUUCAUGAUUUCACAACCACUAGUCACCCGUCUUAGCAGGCGUUCAACCAAAGUACUCGUUCUGCUCUCGUAAAUUGGAGAUUGAGAGCUCGGGGUACACAGAUAAAAUAAAUGGAUGUUAAUUAGGACGCAAAAUGGCCAGACAGGGGGCCGGUACUGUCGAAGCGUCCGGCAUGUUCAUGUUAAGACUUCACGAGUGCACUGGAGGAAUCCACAGAAAUCCUUCUACAGUCGCAAAUGGCAAUCCUUCGUUUCAAUCACUAGUGCACUGUUAGAUGCAGUCGCGCAAUGCAAGCAUCAAUCUCAAAUCUAGGAUUUCAGCUCUGACGGGCUGGAAAUACCAGCCAGCCAACCAUUUAGGGCAUGUUUGGUUGCCGUGGUGAACAGUUCCUGAAUCGCAUACACUUCUCAAACCAGCCUGGUUGAGCAAAAACAGGCCCUAAUACGUCAUCUGCAAGUUGUUUGGUUGCCUGCAUCUAGUGUCCCUGCAUUAGGUAAUACACAAGUGCACUUCGUUUGGUUGCCUGCAUUGGCCCAAGCGGCACAUGAACAUGGCGUUUGGUUGCAUACGGCAUACAAUGUUGUGCUUACCUUGUACCCUAGUUGGUGAGCUUACCCACAAUGAUCACACCUAGCACAUCAACGCCACAACACAGCAAUGACGAUGAACUGGGCGAAGAUGAUGAAGUUCUUCAGCUUCAGCCCAAACUGACGAUCCACCUUAACACCUUCCACUUUGACACCUCCAACCAUGCCACUGUCAACACUGCUGCCUCCGUGCUUUCGCACCCAGCCGGAGUAAACUUGUUCUGCUGCCUGCUUAGUCUUGAACCCUCUAUGGCUGCUGUUGCUAUACGAUGCCACUUGUGCAUUGGCUUCUUCCCAUGAACUAUAAACCCCUGAAGCCGUACCGAUGAACACGACAAUACCACUUGCCCUAUCAAUGCACAAGAGCAAGAGUUGAAGCAACAAAUCAAUGGAGCACAGAAGUAGCAAGCAAAGUAGCACACAAACAACAAUGGAGCAGAAGAGAAGUAAAGCAUGCAUGAUCAUACGACAUAGCAAGUUCAACCUAGCACUACCUUGGUGUUAACCUACCACCACAUCCAAAAGAGGGUGUCAUCCUACCACCGCAAGUUCACCAUCAGCGUGAGGGGUUAGUAUAUACCACCUCACCAAAAUAUACAGACCAUCAAAUUGUUUUUCAGCCCUAGCUACACAAAAUGUACGUCAUCAUCGUCAUCGUCAUCGUCAUCGCCACCACCAUCGCCGUCGGGGAUCAUGCAUGCUCAUAGGCAGCACUACUCUAGUAGUAGUGCUUGCCCAGCCAGCUCCCGAGUCACAACACCCUGUGAACGUCUGCCAUGGCAACGAACCCAACACCCUGGGCCUUGUUGUCAAGUAGGUGGCUAAGAGCUGCCAUGAGAGCCUCGUCGCUGAAGCCACCCUGGGUCAUGACAGCGCCAUAUAGGUUAGGGUGGACGUCGAGGGGCUUGCACUCCCUGAUGGCUGUUGCCACCUCCUUCACCGCCUCAGUCAUGCUGCAAAAGACAUUAUCUCCUCCUCCAUCAGGCCUCCUCUCUUCCUCUUCCUAUCAUGGGCGGGGUCAAAUGGCUUGUCGAAGGGCUUCACAGCUGGCUUGUCAGGGCCAUCAAGGACCUCAAUGUCCGGGGACCCAGGAAAGUCUGGCAUGGGAGAACCAAGAGGCUCCCCCGAGCCCAUGGCAUGCUUCCGAGUUGCCAGCCCGAAGUUGAAGAUGUGCUGCAUCUGGCUGUAGUUCUGUAUGAGUGUGUUGAGGAACUCAGCGUCCCUUGGAUGGUCCUAAGAAUGAAACACAAAUGUUGUUAGUUGCGAUUAGGAGUAGGCAAUGGUGGACAGUAUGAAAAGGAAGAGGGCUGUGAGCUAACCGCGACAUGGCCGGCGUAGUGCUCUGCCUCCAGAACUAUGGAGCAAGUGUUCUCAUCCCAUGAGGCGCCGCUAAGAUCUCUUAGCUUGGACACUUGGAUCCAUCGAACUCUCCAUUUCCUCAGAUGGUUGUACACCUGGGUGGCAGACACCUCCUGCCCACAGAACUCGAACACCUGCUUCACAACGGUGUUCAAGUGCACCUCCUUGAAGCCCUUGUCAGUCCUAACUCCACUAGAGUGAGCUCACACAUCUUGUUCAACACGAACAUGGCAUGAACGGCUGCCACUUCAUGUUGUUCGACCUACCAUCCUUCUUUGCCUUUGCUGCUGCUACCUUGAGUGCAGCGACGGCGACAGCAGCAGCAAGAGUUGGCUCAACGAGCACUACCGGCACAUAGAGGGAAUCAGACGCGAACACCUCUGAAUCAGGUGCCAUCUCAGACAUAGGCUGCGAGUCCUUGACAAACGAUGGAGCAAACUGAUUGUCGGACAGGACAAGGGCCUGACUAAGAUCUUGCAUCUGCGUGGUCAUGUCCUACAAUCGUAGCACGCAUUGACGGUAAGCAUAACACACAACAUACCGGACAAUCCAUGAAAGCAGCAGCAUACAUGUACGUGGUUCAUGACUAUCAUACUAAGCACAUAUGGUUUAUCGCUAUCAUACUAAGCAUACCGGACAACCUAUGAGCACGAACAUACAUCUACAACAAAUAACAUGCUACAAAUGGACCACCAAUAGGUACAAAUCACAGAUCUAAGCACGAAUCAACACAAGCACAACGUUCAACUUCAAACUCUACUACUAAUCUAGCCUACCACAUGCUUGAACAUCUAGCCCUACCAUAAGUUGCAACCGCAACAUAGCAAUCAACCAUAUCAACUCACAGAUUAGACCACUAAUCAACCAUGCAUCUAGAUCAAACCCUAGCUGCAGCUCAGAUCUAGCUAGAAGGAACAGAGAUAAAGGGGGAUUGAACUCACAGAGGCCAUGGCUACAGCUCGAGGACGAGGGGGGACGGUCAUGGAAGAUCAACGUCGGCCGGUGAAGGAGCGUCGACACCGUGGAUCGCCGGUCGAUGAAGAUGCGCCACUUACCUGCUCGUCGGUGCCAAUGCACGUCGGUGGGAAAGCUCGAACGGAGGGAGAACGGUGGCGGGAGUUGGGGCGGUGAGGGAGGGGGCUAAAUAGGGGUGGACUCGGCGGGAGGUGAGCCGAAAUCCUCCCGCCGAUUUUUCAGCGACGCGGGCGAGCUCGCGCCAUCUCCCUGCUCGCAUGAGGGGAGAAGCGCGUCGCCCUCCCCUGCCUCGCCCGAGCCAGGCUCGUGAGCUACUGACGAUUCGGGCGUUUCCCCUGGGCUUGGCCUGGACGUGCUUUAAGUUCCGCGCGGUGCGGGCUGCACAGUGAACGCAUGCUACCAAACGGGCUGAAUCUUUCCCGCACGGACGAGGCUGGGCCAUAUGCAGGCAACCAAACACGUCCUUAACCACAUGCUGAUUCACAGAUAGCACAAUAUAGUUGAGAUAUAGAUCUACAAGUAAUAUAGUUGGAGAUAUAGAUCUACAAGUAACAUGCCCGUGCUACGCUACAGAAUGAGGAAAACAAGGAACAACACAAGAAUGUAUUGAGACAUUGAUCAAAUCGAUGUCAUAAAGUUGAUAGGUACACAUAGCACAAUAAAACAUACGCUUCCCAUCCGAUAAAACGCUUCUUCUAAGCCAAACAUUUAGAACAUAUACCAAAUUCUUGUCAAACCUACAAAAAAAAGAAAAUCGUCAAAAAUAAAUAUUUACAAACGAUGUUGGUCAAAUAGUAAUCAAAUAAUUACAGGAGAAAAUCUUGGCAAAAAAUUGACAAAAUGUUAAACUGCAACUGGCCACAAGCAUACAUAUUCCUUAAGCUAAAAUACGUCUACUCACAACCAGAAUGCGCUAAAAAUGCUAAAUUGCAAAAUUUCUUAUAGCAGUUGUUGCCUCACGAACCCGAAAUAGUAUUCAACAUGAACAUACUGGUAUCAUUUUUUAGGGGAAUCUAGAUCUGCCAAGAGACUAUAUAAUGUGGCUACACUUCGAGCGCUCCGUCUCAUCUCCAGCCAUGGUAUGCCAACCCACGACUUGGUGUGUUUGAGCGACUAUCUGCAAAAUGAAAGUCAGAUAGGAUUUGCUCCACCAUGGAACUAAACUAAUUAAGAGAUACUUCUUUUAAAACAUUUCCAACAAUUAUGUCGGUUCAUUUUGGUAUAUGAGUAUACAGUCAUGAAUAGUGUCUUAGAAAAGAAUAGCACCAUUUCCCAUGGGAUUUCAAGUAUAUAUAACUUACACACUAUCAAAAUUUACUUGAGAGAUUAAAACUGAUGCAUGAACUCAAGGAGUUUGGGAUACCACAUCAUCUAGGAGAUGGAAGGGACGUGUUGAGGUCAUAAAAAAUCUAUCUAGCUAAAGCAACACUGCACUCAUUGGCACAUAUCAGACAAAAUGUCAGAAGGCUAUUAUUAGUGCUACAUAUCUUUUAUCAUAUAGGAGUUCCAAGUAGAUCUCACAUAACUACAGAGUAUGUAUAUGCUUUCCAAAGAAAUGAUUAUUUCAGAUUAUGUUCAACACAGAAUAAUAUACAGCAAGCUGGGAAGUUAAAUUACUUGAUACAAAGUGUGUGAUUCGAGAACUUAUCUACUUAAUAAUACAUUUAGUCGUCCUUGAUCAUGAUCCUCUAUUUAUUUGGCACCAAACCAUGCCAAGUACAAAAAUCUGUCACAAGCCACAAUGAAAAAACUCUGAAUAGCAAAUCUGGUACCAACCCGAGGAUGGAGUAUAGUGAAUUUCACCAAGGAUGAACUGCAAGCUUCCGCAAAGAAUCAAGUAGGAAGUCUAAAUCUGUAGCUCACAUGGUACUGAGCCCAUCCACAAUCGAUUCGUUCUAAACAUUUAACAAAUCACAUGUUUAGGAGAGACUCCAAUUUCAAUCACACACAUAUCUGAUACACAUCUCUACUAAAAAAGUGACCAAUUUCUUGGGUCUGAUAGGAGAAAUACAUAAAUUAGGAAGGGAUGAUCUCGCUGGGAACGGACACAGUGGCUCGUGGUAAUUGGCAUUAGUGUGCCACCAGCAAUGAGUAGUUCGCCACCGGCACAAAUCCUCCGUGUCUACAAUGCCUGGGCCAGUCAUGGCGUUCCAACCGCUGGUAGGCUAUAUGAAAAAAGGGUCAACCAACCGGACAAAAUCCCGCCAACCACUCCCCUCGCGCCACGUGUCCCCGCCGCCGUCUCCAUCGCGCCUCCACCGCGCGGGCCCGCCGGGCCCAUCCGGAGCCCGCCCGGGCCCGAGCCGCUGCCGUUGCACCCGGGGCGCCCGCUCCCCGCGCAUGAGCGCUGCCCGCUCUCCUCCCCGCCGACCACUUCCCCACCGCGGGUCCGUCCUUCGCCGGAAUCGCGCCGCCGGCCUCGUCCUCGAUCGAGGAGCACGACGCCUCCAGCGCCCCGUGUGGGCCACGACCCCCCAAGGCCCAGCCCAGCUCCAACCGGCCCAGCUAGGCCUGCCUCCCUGCCAACCUGGGCUCGACCCGCCAAAUCCCGCCCGGGCGUCGUUUAGUCUAUCCCGCGCUCACAUGUUUUUUUGCUGAAAAUGGCCAAGUCCCUGCAUUGCUACAUAAUGUGUGCAUCUUUGUUAGCUUGUAACUAUGUGCAUGUGGCUCCGCUUUCCGUGCAUAAUAUGUCAAAAUGUUUCCCAGAGUGCUCUUCAUGAUGGAGUAGUUUGCAUGCAUGUUGCUGCUCAUAUGGUUAUUUUAAUCUUCGUUGCAAAACUGCUAUAUGAUAUAAACUGCUGGAAUCUGCUGAUUGUUAACAUCAUUUGUGCAUCUUGUGAGUGCCACAAGUUUGUUCCUGUUGAUGCUAUGAUGAUGAUGAUGAUCUUGAUAUGCACAUGUUCUGAUCUUCAUGCUCUACAUGUUGGUGUGCUUUGCAUUCAUGUUAGGGUGUAUCUUGAUAUCUUAAUCCCGGUUGCAAUAGUGCAUGUUGCCGUUAACUGCUGCAACUUGCUGAUUUGUCAUUUUUGUUGCAUUUUGUGUAUGCAUCCUAUGAGCAUGAUUUCUACAUGUUUUAGGAGCAUUUGCAUGCCAUCUUUACAGGGGUGCAAUCCAUGUAUUUUUAUAUGCCCUGUAGUGAGUGCAUCAAGCUUGUGAAGUGGCCUACUCGCUGUUAACUUUUUGUCAAGUCUAUUUCUGUCAUAUCAUGAUGCCAUGUUUGCUGGAUGCUACCAAUUUAUGCAUGCAUAUUAUGGAGAUGCUUAGUUGACAUGUUUUAUUGUUUAUGUUAUGAUCUGUCAUUCCAUGCCUUUGUAUGCCCUAUAUAUGUCCUGGAGCAUAUGUUUUCAUUGCCAUGAACAUGCUUAUACAAUGUUUCAGAUUUCUGUUAACUUCAUGAUGUUAUGUUGUGAGCUUGAUAGUAAUUAUUCUAUGCCUCUUAUGGAGAUGCUCCAAUUACAUGUUUUGUAUUAUGCUAUGAUUACUCUGUUCACAUGCCAUGUUUUCUAAUUUUGGAUAUCAUAUGCCUCUGUUUCAUGCUUGCAAACAUGCUAUCAUAAUGUUGCUGUUUUACACUUGCUGAAACUGUUUCAAUAUUCAAUUUUGUCAUGUUGGUUCCUACUAAUCCAUGAGCCAUAUGCAUAUGAUACCAUGAUGUUAUUUGCUAUUUGUUAUGUGUAAUUUGAUUCCAUGACCUUGGUUUCUAUGUUUACUUGCUUUAGCUUGUCCCUUUCUUGCUCUCAAGUUGCCAUCAUAUUAACUCUGCUCAUGCAUAUGCUGCUGUGUUAUAAAAUUGCUUUUUUCAUUGAUCAUAUUGGCUUAAUCUUGAUGCCUAUGAACCCGAACCUUAAUGAUAUUUGAAGUAUGUUAUAUGUACAUGAAUUUCAUGUCAAGUUUAUGUUUAUAUGAUUCUUGUAGCAUGUUGUUUUGAUGUUUGCAAAGUGCCUACUUGCUGUUUUGGGCAGAUUGUUGUUAUAACUUGUUUGGAGUGUAUGUGUUGCACCGUUGCUCCGUUUUGAGCAUGCUUUAUAUGAAACUUGCUUGAUUUUGCAUUUAGUUUCAUCUUAUCAUGUUGCAUCCAUGUUUUGAGAGUGUUUGCUUGAUGUUUGAAUGCAUUUUACAUCAAUGCCAUGUUUAACUUGUUUUGCUCAUAUCUUCUAGGCCGUAGCUCCGAAUUAAAUGAACUUUAUAUGGAACUUGACUAUGUUUUUGUGUAGAUCAUCUUGAUGCAUAUUAACUUGUUGUUUAACUACUUGAACAUAAGAUUUAUUCAGAUCUGGACUAAUUUCGAAAUUUGCAUAUGAGGACUUACCAGAUUUGCUAUAUGUUGUUUCCGGCCUCAUUUAAACUUGCUUUGAUGUGUUGUUCUUGUAUGCAUCAUCUCUUGCCAUGAGUAGCAUCAUAUAGACUUGUCAUGCAUCAUACUUGGUUGAGCAUCAUGUCAUGUUUAUGUGUUGUGUGUUUACCUUGUUGUUUGCUUCUUUCCGAUUGUGCUUCUUCUCGAUAGUUCCUGUUUCAUUGCGAUCGUGAGGAUUCGUUCGACUACGCUUGGUUCGUCUUCGCCCGUUCGUGUUCUUCAUGGACUCGUUCUUCUUCCUAGCGGGAUUUCAGCCAAGAUGACCGUUACCCUGGAUCUCACUACUAUCAUUGCUAUGCUAGUUGCUCCGUUCUAUCGCUAUGCUGCGCUACCUAUCUUUUGUUUAUCAAGCCUUCCAAAUUGCCAUGUCAGCCUUUAACCUUUUUACCCUUCCUAGCAAAGCAUUGUUUGGCUAUAUUACCGCUUUUGCUCAGUCCCUCUUAUAGCGUUGUUAGUUGCGGUGAAGUUGAAGAAUGCUCCAUGUUGAAACAUGUUUAUGUUGGGAUAUCACAAUAUCUCUUAUUUUAAUUAAUGCAUCUAUAUACUUGGUAAAGGGUGGAAGGCUUGGCCUUAUGCCUGGUGUUUUGUUCCACUUUUGCCGCCUUAGUUUCCGUCAUACCGGUGUUAUGUUCCUUGAUUUUGCGUUCCUUACGCGGUCGGGUUUAUGGGAACCCUUUGACAGUUUGCUUUGAAUAAAACUCCUCCAGCAAGGCCCAACAUUGGUUUUACCAUUUGCCUAACAACCUAUAACCUUUCCCUUGGGAGUAAUUAACCCGAGGGUCAUCUUUAUUUUAACCCCCCCGGGCCAGUGCUUCUCUAAGUGUUGGUCCGAACUGAGUAGACUGCGGGGCCACCUCCGGGAAAUUGAGGGCUGGUUUUACUCGUAGCUUGACUCAUCCAGUGUGCCCCGAGAACGAGAUAUGUGCAGCUCCUAUCGGGAUUUGUCGGCACAUUCGAGCGGUCUUGCUGGUCUUGUUUUACCAUUGCCGAAAUGUCUUGUAACCGGGAUUCCGAGACUGAUCGGGUCUUUCCGGGAGAAGGAAUAUCCUUCGUUGGUCGUGAGAGCUUAUAAUGGGCUAAGUUGGGACACCCCUGCAGGGUAUAAACUUUUGAAAGCCGUGCCUGCGAUUAUGUGGCAGAUGGGAAUUUGUUAAUGUCCGGUUGUAGAGAACUUGACACUUGACUUAAUUAAAACGCAUCAACCGCGUGUGUAGCCGUGAUGGUAUUUUCUCGGCGGAGCGGGAAGUGAACACGGUUUGGGUUAUGUUUGAACAUGAGUAGUUUCAGGAUCACUUCUUGAUCAUUACUAGUGUGUGAUUGUUUGCGUAGCUUUUCAUCUUAUUCUUGUAUUCGUAAGUUAGCCACCAUAUCAUGCUUAGUCGCUGCUGCAACCUCACCACUAUCCAUUCCAUUCCCAUUAAGCUUUGCUAGUCUUGAUACCCAUGGUAAUGGGAUUGCUGGGUCCUCGUGGCUCACAGAUUACUACAACAACAGUUGCAGGUACAGGUAAUGCGAUGAUCAUGACGCGAGAGCGAUGCUUGCUUGUUUUGAUUUCUUCUUCUGCUUCGUCGUUCAGGGGAUAGGUUCCUAGUCGACAGCCUGGGCUAGCAGGGUGGAUGUCGUUUGAGUUUCUAUUUGUGUUUCGUCCAUAGUCGGAUGUUGCUCUUAUGUUUGAUGAUAUUGCAUUUGUGUGGCAUUGUAUGCCUCUUGUACGUAUCCCCAACUAUUAUGUAAUGGUAUGAUGUAAUGAUAUCCACCUUGCAAAAGCUUCUCCAAUAUGCGCUUCUAUCCUUGGUGGGACCUUCGAGUUCCUUUAUGAUAGGGUCGCAUAUUGGGCAUGACAAGUAAGACUCAAGCAAACAACGAAAAAUGGAGCAACUUACUAGAGAACAUACUUGGACAUGGCAGCAAGCUAGCAACCACUGCUAUCCUCUCUGUCUCCAAUUGACUGCACAACCGGAUCUAGAAGGAGAGCUACUCGGGCAUGCUCAAAGCAAAAUCUGAUUUAUUGAGACCUAAUUAUCGAGGUGGUGUUUGGUUGAGUUGUGGAUUUCAGAAAAACUGCCAUGAGCUGUCAGAAAGCAGCUGUGAGGUGGUAACUGUGAAAAAGCUGAAAGUUGAGGAACCGUGAAACUGCGCUUUUGAUAGAAAUUGUCUGUAAUGUCCCUGAAGCUCUAGGAAAAUGUUUAUGUGCUACUUGAUCGUAAAACAAUGAUCUAUAAACGGAUUGACAAAUAAAUGACCAUUAUAGAAAGAAACAAAUACUCAACUUUUAAGUUAUAAGGUUAUAAUAAUCUGAACAAUAGCAUAAUAAAGAAAUUGAACAUACAUAUAUGAUUCAAAGUUAAUGUAUUCCAAAUUUGCUGCAGUACUUUAGAACAUCCGUACAAACUGUUCAUAGAAAUUUGGCCACAUAUUAAUCAUCUCAAUACAACCAGACGCCAUUGCAUGAGAAGGCGUUCACGAGCUGCAGGUUUGCUGCGGCCGUGAAGUUGAGACGAAGGUGUGAUGUGAAAUUUAUUGAAAGAAAGGAAAUUACCUUGUGCGCUCUGUUGUGCUAGUUUCGUGUGCGUCCAUCGGUGGCUCGCCGCUGCUAGCUUCCUGCUCCGCCGUGCAGCUGUAUCCUGUCGUGGUUGAAUCGGUGUCAGAUGUCAGAAUUGGAGCCUGGAUGGAUACGAGGGAUGCGGGGCCGGGAAGGGGAGCGGCCAGAGUUUGGGCGGCAUGGCCGGAGUUUGGGUGGCUGGGCGGGCGGCAAAGAGAGGAGAGGGGACCGGCGGUGCCGCGGUGGGGAGUCUGGGAGUUCUCGAAGCCUCUGUUUCUAUCACGAGAGACGAAGAACUUCCAGCUCUUUUUUCAUCUAAAGAACAGUUCCUGUGUGUGGGGUGUUUUUUUGCAAAAGUGCAAGGGGGCACUUGGUCUCAAGAUCAGCCGUACAUUCUGGAUCAGAUGGUGCAGAUGGCACAAAGGCAGACACAUCAUCGUCACUAACUCCCAUUUUUACAGGAUAUAUAUAUAUAUAGGAUGGGUCUAUUAUGAUAACACCCUAUAGAGUCUUAUUCUGCACACCAAACGCUUAUUCUGCUAACAGUUUCGGACCGCGCAUGACUCCUAAAUCGAACCACUUUAUUAACUAAAAAAACACACACACCUCCCCACGCAACCCACCUCCAACCGCAAACCUCUCCCACCUCCUUCCUCCUUCGGUGCACCAACCCUGCACCCACCCGCCCGACGCGGCCUCCUCGCCGGCCACGCGGCCUCCCCAUCGGUGCCACCUUCCUCCCCCGGUGCUGUCUUCCUCUACCCGGCCCCGCGGCCUCCUCCCCGGCGCCAUCUUCAUGUUCCCGACCCUGCGGCCUCCUCCCUGGCGCCACCUUCUUCUCCCCCGUCCCUGUACCCUCCUCCCAGGCGCCGCCGCGCACCCAGCCGUGCGUCACCAGGGGAGCGACCCCGCGCGGCCCCGCGCGUACCUGCCCUCGCCGCCACCCCGGGUGCGGGCACAACACCUCUGCCUACCUUCCCCAGAUCAAAUCCGCCUCCACGGCGGCCGGAUCCGCCGCCCCCGCGACACGGGGGUCAACUUCGACCUCCUCCGCGCGCCCACGGGGUCCCGCGCUACCACCAGCAAACUCGCCGGAUCCGGCCUCCCUGAUGGCCGUGGAGUACGAAGAUGACCGGAUCCCCCUCCCCGCGAUGAUAGGCUCUCCUCCAGCGCGCCUACCACGACCACAACGGGGAAAGGUACCCCCCACUGCCUCUCUUCAGCGACGGGGGUCGCCGGCGACUCCCCCUCCCCGUUCUGGUGGCACUGUGCUCCGGCCGGCUCCUCCAGCGAGCUUGCAGACGACAGGAGGAGGAGAUCCGGCGGUCUCCGACUGUGGCCGAGGCCGUGGCCACCACGCGCGUCAACAAUAGCGAGAUUCCACCCCCUGGAUGCACUGCAGUUCAGUUUUGGUGGGCGCCACUCUCCUCUUACGGGCGUGUGUGCAGUGCGGUCCGAUGGCGGGGUAGCCACCACUGCACUCCGGCGGUCCUCUUCCCGUCACGUACAAAAAAACAUGCCCAGGUCCAAUUUUUCGUUGUUGUUAUCCACUGACGGUGAGCAGUGCAGCUUGCUAUCGUUGCAGGUGAGUUGGGGCGUCCGUGCAGUGCGCAAGCACUUGAGGAUGAUUGCCACGAACUUCGGCAGGAGGUUCUCCAGUUGGAUUGUUGAUGCAGUUUUUUGGAUUGUUGCUGCAGUUUACUUGGUGUGGACAGGAGGUUCUCCAGCUGGCCCAUGCAGCGAGAAAUGUAGGUUGCUCUUCAUUGCAGGUCGGAUUGUUUUCGCCGUUGCUCGCACACAUCACCGGUGGUUCAGCGGAGCACCCCCUCGCAGCUCUCUCCUUCUCCAACAUGCAGUUCACCGACGACGGCCUUCAGUUUGUUUUGGUUGCUGUCGAUGCCAUCCCCGCUGCAGUAUAGUGUAUGUGUGUGUUUUGCGUGGUAGCCGGCUGGGGGCCUAUGCUCCUGUACAAUGUAAAAAUAGCAUGAAAAUGAAGUGCACUUCUGUUGUAUCCAGGUUUCAGUUCCCCCUAAUAUACAUUGGACAUGCAAAAAAACUAUGUCAAGAGGUUCACUUCUGUCGACAGGAGAGGUUCAUUUUUAUUGUGUGGAGAGGUUCUCUUAACCAUACUAUGCACUUUUUCUGUUUUUUAGAGGUUCGCUCCAUGCUAGUAUGCAUUUCUUUUCGUUUUAAAUAAUAACAAAAAGAAUUGCGUGCAAUCCUCUGUGAUGACAUUGCAGUGCGCUUUCUCGUCUGAUGCAGCACACUAACAUUGACAAAUAUGGUCCACUUAAUCCUAUGAAACAAGUUAGAAAAUGACAAAAAAAAUCAUACAGUGCGCUUAGAUUUGUGUCUCGGUUCAUUUUUCGCUUGAUGUGGUUCACUUAGACCCAAUGUGAAGUACACUCCACUUCCUCGUCUAAGAAAAUUUUGGUUCGACAAAAAAGAAUGAUGCAGUUCGUUUGCCCGUCUGAUGUAGUGCGUUUUUCUGUCCGAUGCAGUUCCCUUCAUCGAUUUUGGGUCCGUGAAAAAUAGUGUCCGCAUUUCCUUAAAAUCAAAACUGCUCUUAAACCGUAAGGAAUUAGUGGAAGUGUUCUACAUGAAAAAGUUGCGCCUCAUCGAUAUCUUUCCAACGGCAUAUCAUUUGAAUCAUUUCGACAACCGGUUUGUAAAAAUUUCAAAAAAAACGGCAGCUGCCACACGUCCUCUGCCGCACGAUUUUCAAAAUUAACUUAAAACCGUAAGCAAUCUCAAAACCAUUCCUACAUAUGAUAGUUGCGCCUUGUCCAUAGCUUUCCAACGACGUAUUACACGCUUCGUUUUGACAAACAGUUCAAAAACUAGAGCGAAAACAGUACCAACAAUUUGAAAAAAUUUGAAAAACAGAAUUCCGUGAUUUAGUAAAUUUGAAACUGCUCUUAAACCGUAAUAAAUUAGAGAAAGAUUUAUAUAUGAAAAAGAUGCGCCUCGAUGAUAUCUAUCCAAUGGAGCAUCAUUUGCUUCAUUCAGACAAGCGGUUUAGAAAAAAACGCGAAAAAACGCUCGGUGUCACUCGUCAUCCGCCGCACUAUUUUCAUAACUGCUCUUAAACCGUGUGGAAUCUCGAAAAGUGUUCAACAUGUCGAAGUUGCGCCUAAUCCAUAGCUUUUCAAUGGUAUAUUACACGCCUUAUUCCGAUAAACGGUUAAAAAAUUAGAGCAAAAACAGUACCGAAAAAACACCGCGUGCAAUUUUUUUCGACACGAAGUUCACUAGUCUCUAUUGCAGUGCUCGUCGUCAAAAUGGUGCAGUGCGCUUCUGUUGAGCGUGCAGUGCCAAAGUGGUGUGCAGAAUAGUUAUUCUGCUAAUAUUAGCAGAAUAGACCGUCUAUAUAUAUAUAUAGCACUAUUCUAAUCCUGGGAUUAGAAUAGUUAUUCUGAUCAUGAUCCACCCUAUAUAGGGCCCGAUGGAUGUUCCUGAGAUCCCGAGCAACCCACUCGACCGGUAUGAGGAAAAGAAGCCCAGCCCACCUGCUACAACGAUCCCCUCCCCUAACCUUCGAACUGCGUGACACCGCAACCACCGCCUCCCUCCCUGCCUCGCGCUGCCGCCGGGCCCCGACCACGAAUCGCACCGCCGCCCUGCCGCGACCUUCAACCGCGCCGCCACCGCAUCCUCCCUCCCGCUCCCCCGCCGCCGCCUCCCUCCCUACCUCGCCACCAACCGGCGCUGCGCCGCAUCCCUGACCCCAACCGGAGAUGCCGCCUCACCUCCUCCCUGGAUCCCGCACCAUCGUCCCCCACGCACUGCCGCUGACGACGGGAGCAACCACCAGUGCGGGCUACUCCACCACCUACCGGCCUUCACCACUCCCCUCCACCAGCAUCGGCCCCGUCCCAUCCACCGAGCGCCGGCGUCCCCCAUCUCCCUCCACCUUCAUCUACACGUGAUGGACGCCAUGGCACGAGACCGUGAGCUCGCCGGAUUCCUUCCCCUACAGCCAGCGCCAGCACCUACAUCCGGCGCCACAGUCGUCCAGGCCGUUCAACUUUGCCGCCUCAGGCCGUGCAGCUCCGCCCCGUGUGAGCGUGCGUCGCUCCUCCGCAGCUUCUCCAUUUCGAGAUGGCAGGUGACCUCGUUGAUGUCUGAAGCUACUUCCUCCCCCCUGUCCUAAAACUGAAUCCAUAUCAAAGCGUCGAUUCCUCCCCCUGUCCAGUCUUGUAUUUGUUCUCUAAGUGAUUUUCAUUGAUGUCUGAAGUUCAUAUGUAUCUGCAGCUGCAAAACACUUGUGUUUUUGGGUCUGAAGUUCAGAUGUAUCUGAAGCUGCAAAACACUCGUGUUUUUGGUCCAGUGUUUUUAGUUUCACAAGCCGCGGCCCAUGCACCGCCCCCACCCCAUUCAAACCGACAAUGCCGCUUCCACCCCGCCCCCAACCGAUGACGCUGCAGCAGUCCCACCCCCAACCAAGCGCCGCCCCUGCUCCUUCAGGUGAAGCUCCCUGUCUCAUGUGCCUUGUUCCACUGGCCACCGGGUCCGUCCGCCAUCCUUACUCUCCCGAACUUCUUCUCCGUCGGUAGGGACGAGCAGGGAGCUGUCAUCCAUGUCGUCCUCACCCACCAUCAGCUUGUGAAAAAUAGUUAAUUGCUGGCACUUAGGUCCAACGCCAAAACCAGGCAAAUGUGCGGCUGAAGAAGUUCAAACAAGGUGUGCGGAGCAGCUGGAGGUCAACGAGCAAGGGGGCGAAGCUAAAAUGGAGCAGACGAAAUCUUUGCGCAGUGGCGCACAAGCCCUGAGUGUGUACGGUGUGCCUUCGAGCAGCUACCAUGCGUGAUACGAGCAACUUGGGAAGCAAUAAUACUAUUGGAGAAGGAACCUCAAGAUGACUGAAGUCCAACUGUUGCGUUGGACAAGGUCCAUCAAAUUCUUGGUUGAUAAAUUCAACCCUCCCAACAUGUGCCUAUUAUUUUUAAUAUAUCACAAAGAUGAAUGCAUAUACACAAAGAUGAACAUUGUUGUGAACUCUAUUAUAUUUUGCACGGGAAAUUUUCAGAUGUUGAUAUUCAGCAUAUUACCAAAAGAGUUCGGCGAAAAAAAUCACUCUCCAAAAGACAUCCAAGUAAUAUUUUCAAGAGGCAGAUGAAAAAAUGGUUAGUCAUUUUCUCUCUCUUUGCUGAGAAUGGAAGAGCUUCAAUUUUCUGAAACUUUAUCCUAGUGGAGAAUCAAUUGACGCAGCUUGAUUUCUGUUCUGUCAUAGUUGAUGGCGAGAUAGAUUUUGGCGAAUUUGCCAGGAUGAUGAAAAAGACCAGCUAUGAUGAUAACUAGGUGGGGAGAUGUCAUUUCUGAGAGUGUGGAUCUUUGUGUAAUUUUUCAAUAACCACCGCAUGUAUGCGUGAUGUACUUACUGAAGCUUUGGCUGCAUGUCCAUGUACAGUGUGAGUUACUAGAUGAAAAUGGGUGUUCGCACUAUAGGAUGCUGCUUGCACUUAAUGUAUAGGAUUUUUAUUUUUUGUGCUGUUGAUUUUUGUAAGGUAUUUUGAGUUUUGGAAGUUCAAAAUUCUGGUGCUGGAGAGUUUCGCUCCAUCAUGCAUGACAAUAACAAUAUUUCUAGAUAUGAAAGGUUUCUUGUCCAUCUAAAAAAAUGUUUCAACAUAAAUAAAAAGAGAAUAAAAAAGGAAGUAAUUCUAUGUAUAUGGAAAACCAAAAAUUAUUUCUUUUUCUAGGAAAAAUAAAAGUAUGAAGUUCAAUUUUAGAAAAAAAAUGUUUGAUGCUUAUUUAUCAACUAUAUUUUUUUCUAAAAAUAAAACUAAGAAGUUCAAAUUGAAAUAAUAGAGAAGUUUGAAGUUUAUAAAAAACACAUAUUUAUCGCAUUACUAAAGAAUAAUAUGAAUAAGUUCAAAUUAAAAUAAAGGAACAACUAAAAAAAGUUUACAAAAGAAUUUCACAUUUUUUAAUAAAACUAGAAGUUGAAACUAGAAUAACCAAAGUGGUUUGAUGCUAUUAAAUAAUAAAGUGUUUCAAUUUUAUCAAAAAGAUGGAGAAGUUCGAUGAUUAUAGAAAACUCAGAUUUUCCUCGUUAUUGAAAAAUGGAAACAAGAAGUUCAAAAAUUAAAUAGCAAGAAGUUCAACUUUUAAAAAUAGAGCGCUUCAAAAUUUCAUAAAAAAUUGAGAAAUAAAAAUAGGAAGUCCAUAUUAAAAAGUUCAAGAAGUUCGAUGAUUAUAGAAAAUUCAAAUUUUCCUCGUUAUUAAAUAAUGGAAACAAGAAAUUCAAAAUUAAAAUAACUAGAAGUUCAACUUUUAAAAAUAGAGUGCUUCAAAAUUCAUAAAAAGGAUUAAGAAUAUUAGAUUAAAAAUUCAUAAAAAAGCUCAGAUAUUUUCACGAAACCGAGAGAAGUUCAGAUUGAUAACUGCUAGAAGUUCGCUUACUACACGGUGUGCAUUUUGUAUUAAAAAGAAAUAAAAAAGCAAAAACUAAGAGUUUGUUGAUAUAAGUUCAAGUCCUCCGUCAGAGAAAGUUAAGAAAAUAUAUUGUGAGAGAGAUUUAUAUAAAAGAAAUACCAUUUGUGUAACACUUGACGAAUGGAUGAGAAAAUUACAAAUGAAAAAUACGUCACGAAAGUUCAACGUGAAAAUAGCAGGAAGUUCACCUACUACACCGAAUGAAUAUCAGAUGAAAAACUUUUAAAAUCGUCGCGAGUAUAAAAAAAUGAUCAACACGGGAAAGUUGCGGGUCUACAACAGCUUUCCAUCGGUAUAUCACUUGCUCAAUUUCGAUGAAAGGAUUGAGAGCUAUGAGCAGUGGAUGGAGAGCUACGGGCAAAAAAAGCACGUGAAAAACAGAGUGAAGUUCAAGGUUUCAUAUCGAGAAGUUCAGGUACUUCACGCGAUGCAUUUUUCACGAAUCUGUUUCGCGAUAAGGGCAGAACGAAUGAUCUUGCCAUUUUCCAAAUUACUUGAAAACGGCAGGGAAUCACAGAAAACCAUCAACAUAAAAAAGUUUUGCAUUUUCCUUAGCUUUUCAACGGUAUAUUAUUUGCCCCAUUCCGAUAAAGUUUGUGGAAAUUACAACGAAAAUACGUUUUUAGCCAUUUUGAAAACUGACAUAAAACAGUAAGGAAUUGGGAGAAAUAAUAUAUACCAAAAAGUUUCGCAUUUCCUCAAGCUUUCCAACGCCAUAUCAUUUGUUGCAUUCGGACAUAGGGUUAAAAAAUAGAUCGGAAAUACGAACUAGGUGAAACUUGUACCGUUUUUUAAAUCACUUUUAAACCAUUCAAAAUUAGAAAAAAAACUUUCUACAUGAAAAAGUAGCGCAUCUUCAUAAGCUUUCCAACGCCAUAUCAUGUGCCUCAAUUGGUUUAGCCGUUUAGAAAUGACAUCGAAAAUACGAACUCGGUUGUUCGGUUUGUGAAAUUUUACGAUUUUCCAAAGGGAAUUAGAGAAAACUUUCAACAUGUGGAAGGAGCGGUUUUGCAGCAGCUUUCCAAAGCCAUAUUACUUGCCUCAUUCCGAUAAACGGUUUAGAAAUGAGAUCGAAAUUUCGAUUCACGUUUUUUGUGUGAAGAAAAAACGGUUUUCAAAACUGCUCUUAAACCGCUUACAUUUUGCGAAAAAUUUAACUUGGGUCAUGAUACUCGUGUCCAUAGCUUUCCAACGGUAUAUAGCAAGCCCUAUUUGGGCAAUGUUGCGGGAUGUUCAACCUAGCACACGGGGAAGUUCAGGUCGAACAACUCAGGCAGUAAAAUCGCAAAAAACACGAGUUCUUCACGACCCGAGUGCAAAAUCCGCCUAUGAUCGAGAUUCCUAUCUAAAACGAGUAUUUAGUUGCUAAAAAUCAUUUGAAGAUUACACUUACAUCACAUGGAACACGGCUAACCAGAAAAACUCACGGUAGAAGGCACAAUUGCGAAGAUAGCCCGAAGGUCGGGUUCGUAUAGAGAGAAGUUCAGACGCGUUACUGAGGCAGUUCAGGUUGUGAUCAGAAUAUUAUUCUAAUCCUGUGAUCAGAAUAGUGUUUAUGUAUAUAUAUAUAUAUGACGACAGUUUGGGACACCUAGGUGCCUAGGCACCUUGCCUAUCUGUCGUUGGAUCGUGUUUAGCGACUGAUUUGGAAACUAGUGAAAAUGGCUUAAUUUGGCAGGCUUUAAUUCUUUAAUCAUUCCAUGCAUGCAUGUCACGUCAUAGAAAAGGAAGGAAAUUAAAAUACCAUAUUGAUUAAAAAUCAAUAUUUAUUACCUCCUUAUAUAGCAUUUAUUUAUUCGUAGGCUAAAUCACUUUAUAUGUACAUACACGUGUAUGUUACAUAAUUUUAGUUAGGUAUACAAUGACCCACAACAUAAUUGGGUAUACAUACACUCGCAACAUAAUUGGGUAUACAUAUACCUAUACAUGUAAUUUUGUUAGUAGGUAUAUGCAUACCUAUGUAUGUACAUAAUUUCGUUAGUAGGUAUAUGCAUGCCCGCGUAUGUAUAUAAUUUAAUUAGUAGGUAUAUGCAUACCUGCGUAUGUAUAUAAUUUAAUUAGUAGGUAUAUGCGUACGCGCGUAUGUAUAUAAUUUCAUUAGUACGUAUAUGCAUACCCGAAUAUGUACAUAAUUUAGUUAGUAGGUAUAUACAUAUCCACUAUGCAUAUAAUUUAUUUAUUAGCAAAACCUAGAAUAAAUCAUUGGAUAUAUAUACAUGCCCGUGUAUGUACAUAAUUCAUUAGUAGGUAUAUAUAUCAUGGGUAUAUCUCUACUAUUUGGAGUCCGUGCACAAUUUAUUGAUACAAAUAAUAAGUCAUAGAUACCUCAUGAAGGUACAAUUUUAAUGUAUAUGUGUAUUCAUCUGUGCGUACAAGGUCUACAAGCCGGCAAGUCACAUUGUGCGUACAUGCAUGUAUAUUUCUUUCCUUUUUAUUCUGUUAUUCUCUCUCUACCAAUUAAUGUGUGUUUUAAUUCUUUUCCAAUCAAUAAAUGCAAAUUGGUUGACAUGCGAGCUACUAAUGCUAGGUGCCCACGCACCUAGGUGCCCACAUAAUUUACCUAUAUAUAUAUACACACACAUCUGGGCUAUUCUGUUACGUGUACCCUUUUUGAACUGACGGUUUCAGGUGGUUGUGCUGAUGUUUUUGAAGCGGUUGAACUGAUGCUUUCAGUUGUGUUUAACAGAUCGUCUUUUUUAGUUCAAAAACUUUUUGUAAUUUUUUUGUCGGAACGGGGCGUGUAAUAUAUCGUUGGAAAGCUCUUGACAACCAUAUUUCAAGUAUAUUGAACGUUUUUGCAAAAUCAUUAUGGUUUAAGAGCAGUUUUGAAAAAACUGUUUUUUUCAAAACCGUUUGUCGAAAUUGAGCAAAUAAGAUGGCGUUGGAAAUCUGGUGAAAAUCCGCAUCUUCCAUAUAUGUAUUGUUUUUUCUAAUUCUAUAUGAUUUAAAAGUAAUUUGAAAAAUGGUAAAAUUCUGGGCGAAACGUAUUUUCGCGAUUUUUUGCAAACGGUUUGUCGGAUUGACGCAAAUGAUACAGCGUUGGAAAGAUAUGGCAAAUGCGCAACUUUUUUGUAUAGAAAUGUUUUUCUAGUUCCUUACGGUUUAAAAAUGAAUUCGAAUACGGUCAAAUUUGAUUUUGAACACGGUUUUCUUAAAAAGCUUGUCGAAAUAUGACAAAUAAUAUACCGUUGAAUAGCUAUCGAAAAUGCGAAAGUUAGUCAUGUUGAACGUUUUCUCUACUUCGCAACUGUUCAAGAUUAAUUUUGAAUACGACAUGACGGAUCCUGCUGUUUUCUUGUGUGAAAAACAGAGUAGUCGUACUGAUAUAUGUGUAUGUUUGUAUUGAACUAUUUUUUGUAGAGUAAUUUUGAAUGGUUCCGAAAAGGGGUACUUGUACUGAUGUUUGCAUGGGUUUGUACUAAGCGUGUUUUCACUAACUAGACUUUGCUCUGUUUUUUGGGUAAUAUUUUUCUCGUAAGUUUUCGACGGUUUACUGUAUCGUCGCCCCUGUACUUGUAUGGUUUGUAUCAUCUAACUGAAUGAUAUUUUAUUCAAAAAGAAAAUGUGUUUGUUUUGUUUCUUUUUUUUAACUCAACAUUUUUUUGACAAUGUUGUUCUGAACUUCUCUCAUUUUACGACUUAUAAUGAGGUACUUACUAAGCAGGAUUUUUCAUGGGGUUUCUUUUUUUGCUUGAACUUUACAAUUUGAAUUUCUGCCAUUUUUUUAUUCCAAACGGACUAUCGUUUUUAACUUGUACUGAGGUACUUACCACGCCCGAAUUGGGGUGGCUGUCGCAUGUCUCGGCAAGGAAGAAGACGAAGCUCGGGGGCGAGGCUAGAUUCGGCCCGGUCGGUAGGAUGCUGCGCAAGGCGGGAGGUGAACACAUCAAUGGACACAUGUACUACACACCAAUGUGCAUCUGUACUAUCCAUAACAAAAAACUAAUCUAGUACGCUGUGUUGAACUUAUAACUUUUUUAGCUGUGAACUUGUUGUAUUUUUACAAUGCCAAAGCUAGCAAAUAGUACAAGAUUCACCCAACAAGGGGCUAAUUACAUAGAGCAGCUGCACUAAUACAACGGUCAGAUCGGUAACUAGUAGCUAGUAGCCGUGGUUACCAACACACAUACACAUAAAUUGAUAACAAGGUAAUGUACAAGUUCAUGUACAAUAACGCUACAAGUUCAAAAAGAAACCUGAGAUAAUCCUCACAUAUUAGUUUUUCUGUAAACAAAGAAAAACCGAUUAGACAUACGGUCAAUGAGUAAUUUUCGUUCAAACUUGGCCACCUAAAUCCAGCAGCAAUUGAGCCAACCCACCUAAAUCCAGCAGCAAUUGAGCCAACCGGGAAGGAGCAACCAUUGAAGUACUUGAGGGAUGAAGAAACAAAAUCAUCUGGAUUCCAUGUGUAAAUCAUGGGAGCUCCUAGGCAUUUGAUCAAACCCAACCAACGCCUAGUACUGUGAGCACCACAUCUGCAGCUGCAGGAACGCCACCAACUAAACGGGCUCUGGUGGUGCUGUUGAACGGCCUAGGUGGCCAAGUUUGAACGAAACCUGCAAGAUGAACCCAAGGGGAGCUCCUUCACCUGCAAGAUGAACAGAAAAUGCACAUUAAGGUGACCUGAAGAACCACCAGAUGUUGAACUGAAUAUACACAAGAUAAGGAGAUGAACGUCCAGGGGGAGGUGGAGAAUAGCUAGCACCUCUCGAGCUACAGCAUAGAACGGCUUAGCGCUAUGUUGUAGAACGGCUUAGCGCAUGUGCACAGUACCAUCAACGUUGAACUUGUUGAGUCCAGAUUUUUGAACCUUCACAAUAGUAAUACAUGUACUGGGUGGUACAUGCUUCUGUUGUUGAGCAGCUGACCUACAGAAACAAAAACACUCCUGGGUGGACACACAAAAUCAUGAUAAAAAUAGUGGCAGCAAGAAGCAAUCAGAAGUGAAUAUGCAGUAGUACUAUAAUGAAAUAUUAGUCAAAAUUGAAGUUUAGAUAACUAUGGCACACACAUCAUACAAUAAUUUUGAACUUACAUAAUCCUGAAACAGGAACUUCAUUUUUUUAAAUUUAGCAAUUCUGAAUGCACUAGCAAUGUAAUUGAAUUUUUUAGACCAUAGUAAUUGAACUUCAAGCACAUUUCUUUAUAAAACAUUUGUUUUUUCCAUUUUGCACAAUAAUUAUGUCCUUGUCAGUACGACUCAUCAGAAUUGUAGACGGCAUCCUUGUCAGUACGAGUCAUCAGUACUAGUGCUCUUUUUCCAAAGAAAAUGUGUUAAAAUAGAAACAUUUUUCCUAUAUGGAUGUUACUUUUAAUGUAAACCUUUCUUACCAUGGAAAUUAAAGUAACAAUAAGCUUACUGUUUUUUUAACACACACAUCAAACUACGCAUCAUACUGUUUUGCAUUUCAUUUUCGAACUGAUGCAAAUGUUUUUUCUGCACCUACACCUACCGAUGCGACUGAACUUAAGGUCACUUAGGAAAGCUGUGCAAAAUGGGAGAGAUAGGCAUGCAAACGAUGUAUGCUCCAAACUGUUGUAUCUUGGUCAAACCUAACAGAGAACAGUGCCUCCUGGUAUCAUAUAGGUACUAAGCAAACGAUUUUUUGUCAGCUAAUUGAGCUCCCACGGUUCAUCAAAUUGUUCUAAUGGUAAACUUUUAAAACAAAAAUUCAACUCUCACAGGUACAACAAUGGACAGGUUCAGUGCAAAUAAUUUCUGACCAAACUAACUCUUGCCACGGGGUGUGGAAAGGAGAUGGGGGGGGUGCUCACUUGGGGGAAAGGAGGCAUGGUGUCCGGCCGUGUAGGAGCAUGGUGGCAGGGGUUGACCCCAAUUCAGAUGUCGUGAUUUAACUGAAAUCUCAGCAGUAGUAUUUUUUGUACUUCUCAUAUAGUAAUUCAUGGACUUGCUGUUAAAUACUCCCUCCGUCCCAAAAUAAGUGUCUUGAGCUUAGUACAAAUUUGUACUAGAGCUAGUACAAAGUUAACACUUAUCUACUUUCAAAAAAAAAGUUGACACUUAUUUUUGGGACGUAGGAAGUGGUGGUGGAGUGACACCGGGAUCCUUAAUUACAUCAUGAACUCCUACACAUAGUGUUUGUUUCUUAUUUUUUGUACAGAGCAUAUGAUUUGUGAGCCGCAUAGGCGAGAUAAAUCAUCCAUUCUACACUUUCUGAACACUCGAUAUAGCAAUACAAGAACUUACCGGAGAGAUCACGCUGAACUGAUGGGGCUCUGAAAUGUAGAUGGCAAGGAUGCACUCCGCCGCUCUGCUAUGAGGGAGGUUUUCAUUAUCAUUGACAUCCUUGUCAUACCGAGUAGGAGAGAUGUUGGUCAUCUGGUCUGACCCCGCGUUGAGUUGUGAGGCUUGGCCUCUUUUUGGCACGUCACCUGAUGUGAGAACUGCAAUUGGAAAGGCUGAGUAUCAAGUGGUAAUUAAGGAAAUGUUUUUUAGUAUAGGCGCUAAACCAGAAAAUGUGUUUCUAUCUUUGUUUAAUGAAAUGAUGUAAUUUAUUAUACCAAACUGCUACUGCAGUGUACACAUAUAUAACUGAACUAUUACUGAUUUCACUUUUUAUAUUGAACUGACACAAAAAAAUAUUAGCAAAAUUUGAACCUAACUUUGAGGAAGGUUCAGAACAAAAGAUGAUAAAAUAUAGCUCCAGUAGAAUGUACUACUGUUAUUCCAGAAUGACCUGCUAUAAAAUGUGUCGAUCGAACUUAGAGAAAAUUCAGACUAUUGUUUAGUUUUUAUACUAUGAACUAAUAUAACUUGGUAGAUCGAACUUUCUACAGAAUAAUAACCACAAACAAAAGAACCAUGUCACGCACCUCCUUUUUUAUCCAUUUUCUUUUUGCCACUUUUUGUGAUGCACUCAGAUGCAAGAAAUUUAGCAGCUGGGACGAGUGAGUUCUCUUCCAACGCACACAGAAUGAGUCAACAACAUGCUGACAGCCUCCCAGCGAGAGGAGGAAGGCUAGUGGAGCGCUGUAUCGUGCAUUUUUGCCAGCCGCCGCCUGUGCUACUCUAUGAAGGAGCCCUAACUAUCGAGUACCCUAGUGCAACACCACGUUCACCCGCAGCACGAUGCCCCCUCCGUUGUUGAACGUAUUCGUAAGGCGAUGGUGAACGGUCUGGAGUGGUGGCGGUGAAUGCCGUGGCACGAGCACUGGUGGCAGUCUACAAAAUGACCUCCACCACCAUUAAGCCACACAGAUGAACCAUAACAUGUUAAAAGGAAGAAAAACAUGUUCAGAUUCGUGGAUGAAAAAGUGCAUGUGACGUAAAUUAUAAGUAUAGCCUGACCUCCGGCUCAAUUAUGCUUACAGAUGUAUUCUGAUCAAUUCCUUCAAUAAUCAUUGUUGAUACAACAGCAAGUAGCUUCCGAGUGUUAUCUGGAGGAUCCAUCUUCUCACCACCAAAGUAUGCCUGAACAACAGUCAUCUUAAUAAUGACAAUGAAGAAAGUGGAAAGGAGUCAAGGCCCAAGCAUAUUUGAGAAAUCAUGAAUCCUACCAUGGAAUUUCCAUGUAUUAAGACAAGGAUAAUACUAAAAAGAAAUAGAUUUCCACCUGAUUUAAAGUUAAUGUUCCAGUCUUGUCACUGCAAAUUGUUGUUGCAGAACCCAUUGUCUCGCAUGCAGAAAGUCUCCUGACCUGUUAACAGAUGGUUGAGAAUGCAUGAGACCAGCUGUUACUACAAGUAACAUGGCACAGUAACAAACACAAGCAAGGAAUAAAAGCAUACCAGAACUUUAUCGCUCUUCAUUUUGCGCAUCGAAAAGGCGAGCCUGACAAAAAUAUGUAGUGGUGCCACCUGUAGUGGUGUUUCUUCACCAGAGUCUUCAGAUAUGCUUGCCAUCAACAAGCCCCAUUCGGUGUUAUUAUUUCUGCUUUGUGUGGUGCCACCUCAUGUCCUCAUGCACGGGCACCACUGUUUUCCUUUUUUACUUCUUCUAAUAUAUACAUUGAAUAGCUACUACCAAUAAUAUAAUUUGUAGACUGCCAGCGUUUCUGCAAAGAUGACUAUUUAUCUAACCAGAGAACUGAAGAUUUUAGAAAAUGUAAACUACUAACUAGAUAACUACAAAAAUUAGCAAAGGGGAACUAAAGAACUGCAGAAUUUAGCAAAUGAGGACUACUAACCAGAUAACUUCAGUUUUUACAGAAGAAGUGGUUGGGAUCUUGUGUUUGGCAGUGGGGAGCCAUGGCCGAAACAUUGAGGAAGAUGAUCUGCUCGAGCGCGAUGGAGUUGUGGAUGGCGCCAAGCACGUCCGUGGACUGACAUCGCAGGUGCCGGUGCUGGAACCGGUAGCUCCAUCUCUGGAUUUACCCAUGGCGUCGCGCCAGAUGGCGAAAGGGUGCCUGGCGGCCGGGCCUUGCGCGAACUAUUGCGCGCGCAUCACCUGGCCGGCCGGGACGAGGAGGUGGAGCCGCACCGGUGGAUGGGAGGUGGAGGCGCGCUGGAGAAGGGGAGGAGGUUGGGGCAGGAAGGAUGAGGCCGGGCGGCGCUGCGCGCAGGAAGGGAGGCGGCGGCGUGGUGGCGCCCAGGUGGAAGGGGCGGCGGCACGCUGGGCGGCCGGUGGCUGGGGCGGCGGCGCGAUGGUGAGGCCGGUGGUUGGUGCGGCCGAUCCACUCGCUGUGGAGGAAGGAAGGUGGGAGAAGUGGUGCGGCCGAUCCACUCGCUCGCCCACGAGGCUUGCCUCCGGCGGAAGAAGGCGCGUUGGGGUCGGGGGGAUUCUACGGUGGUGUGCGCGUCGCGCCUAUAGGGGGCGGGGGGUAACAGAAUAGUCCAGCCCUAUAUAUAUAUAUAUAUAUACAUAUAUAUAUAUAUAUACAUAUAUAUAUAUAUAUAUAUAUAUAUAUAUAUAUAUGGAAAAUGCAUCCUACUACCGGGUGUAGCUACACCGAUUUAUCAUAUACUACCAUGUGGUAGUAUAUACUCUACUUUAUUAUUUUUAGUAUGUUUAUAUACUACAUAUAAGAUACUCCAAAGUGAGUUAUAUGAAAAAAUUGCAGGUGAGCUCAUGGUUUUAUUGUAUUUAUGAAAUACGUACAUAUUUGUACGCGAAAUAGAGUAUGCACAAAAUAUGAUACAUACUACCAAAAAAGUAGUAUAUAUACUACCUAAACAUUCUUAUAUACUAUAUACUACGUGUACAUACUCUCCAAUAUGGUAGAUACUACCUAGAACAUAUCAAACAAAAGUGGGAGUAACUACACCCGGUAGUAGAAAAAAAUCUCCUACUACCGGGUGUAGCUACACCCAUUUCUCAUAUACUACCAUGUGGUAGUAUAUACUCUAUUUUAUUAUUUUUAGUAUGUUUAUAUACUACAUCUAAGAUACUCCAAAGUGAGUUAUAUGAAAAAAUUGCAAGUGAGCUCAUGGUUUUAUUGUAUUUAUGAAAUACGUACAUAUUUGUACGCGAAAUAGAGUAUGCACAAAAUAUGAUACAUACUACCAAAAAAGUAGUAUAUAUACUACCUAAACAUUCUUAUAUACUACAUACUACGUGUACAUACUCUCCAAUAUGGUAGAUACUACCUAGAACGUAUCAAACAAAAGUGGGAGUAACUACACCCGGUAGUAGGAAAAAUUUGUCCUAUAUAAUAUGGAAAAUGCAUCCUACUACCGGGUGUAGCUACAUCCAUUUCUCAUAUACUACCAUGUGGUAGUAUAUACUCUACUUUAUUAUUUUUAGUAUGUUUAUAUACUACAUCUAAGAUACUCCAAAGUGAGUUAUAUGAAAAAAAUUGCAAGUGAGCUCAUGGUUUUAUUGUAUUUAUGAAAUACGUACAUAUUUGUACGCGAAAUAGAGUAUGCACAAAACUACAUCGUCGCGGCCUUCUCCUCCUAGCCCUCGGCCACCAUGCUGUGGCCCUUUGUUGACGUCAUUUUCUCUGAAGAGGUCGGUGCCAUAACUACAUCGAUCUUGCUUGAUGCGAGAAUCACGCUGGCACAGAGAUUUGGUGCUAGGGUUCCAUGGAUGAAAGCGGUUUGAACUUUCAAGUGGUGGAGGGAGGUGGCUUCUGUGGCAGCGGACGCAGUGAGCGUUGGCUUCAAUGUGCUGGAGUAGCAGCAGCAGCUACACGUCCCGCUUUGACGCCAUCUGACACAAGCGUUGUGCGGCCGAGGUCCGCACUAGACGUGUGCUCGACUCCCUCGUCGUUACGAUCUAGCUCUCCAUCGACAGCUCCGUAUCGCGCUGUCAAGCAGUCUGAGACUACUGCCGAUGUGCUAUGGAGAUACGAUGGGGAAGUGAGAAGCGGCAGGAAAAGACAUGCAUCGAGGGGCUUUUGUCCGUGCGAUUGAGAUAGAACUAGCUUGUUCAGUGGUUAAUUAAGAAGACUUCUAGAUGAGUGGAUAUGAAGACCCCUCGAGGUUAGUGGAUAAGAACCUCCAUGUAUAUGUCACUAUCAAUUACAUUAUCUUUUCAUGCACUAUCAGCUCGUAAGAAAACACAAAUACUCAAGCCUGGUUGCAGUCGAGCAUAUAACUUUUGGCAACCAUGCAUGCCUAGGAUCAUUGAUCAAUUAUUGAAGAAGUUCAUGGUAUUGAGGUUUCAAGCAAAUUAGUAUCAACCAUGAUUGGUGAGCCAGGUCCACUGUCCCGAACGCAGUUUCAUUUCGAAGCCUAUAAAUCAUUUUCCUAAAUCUGAAACUUCCCUGCUCUAAUCGCGAGCAUGUGGAUUCAUUAGAAAAAGCUCUGAAUAAAAUGGCUUGAUCCCUAAUGUCUUAUCACAAAAUACCUAGAGCUUGCAUGCUCAUGAGUGAAAGUGCAAUCAUGCCCUUAAUCAUAUUUUGAUGUUAAUGAUAACAUGUAUGUUGGGGCUAAUUAUGUUUAUCAAGUAUAUCUCAGGAUUAUGUCUCGAAGGCCGUGUGUGGAUCAUGACUAGGGACAAAUGCAUAUAACUCAAGAUUGGAAAUACAAAACAUUAGCCUUGGCUUUGUUUACGGUUUGUUCUUGAGUAUAGGGAUCCCGCACUAUUAAGAGGGGAUCGUUGGAACUAGUGAAAGAUUUGCUCAAAUCCACAACUCCAGUUUUCUCUCUCUGGUCAUCCGGUACUCUACGGACGUCCGAUCCCUCUCAGCUGUCCGGACGUCCGGCUCUCUACGGUCGUCCGGUGUUUCACCAACAAAACGUUAUUUACGGAUUUCCGGACCUCUCCGAACGACCGGCCACCGGACGACCUGCACGUCUGGGACGUCCGAUAUUUCCACCAUAGAACCAUAUUUACGGAUUUUCGGGCCUCUCCGGAUGUCUGGGCUCCGAACAACCGACACGUCUCGGACGUCCAUGUGUUGUGUACAGAUUCGUGGCUUAUGUGUUCCCAGCGGCCGGACGACUGAUAACUGUCGGACGUUCGGACAUACUUGUGCCACCGAACGUCCGGGGUUGUCCGGAUGUCCGACCCCUCCUGUGCACUUAAGUGGCUCAAACAGUCACUUUUUUCCACACCCACUAUAUAUAGGCUUCUUCCUUCCACGGGAUAAGGUUGACCAUUCACUUUGAGCUUGCCAAGAAUACUUUUCACUCUCUCUCAAUCCUCUACACCAAAUCCUAGAUCCCCAAGGGAUUUUGGAACAUUUGAGAGAAGUUCUCCAAUCAAGUGAUAGAUCCACUCCUUCCCCUUCUUUGCACCAAAGGAACUUGUGAUUUGAGCAAGUCUUGAGCUUUUCCCCAACGUUCUUAUUACUCUUGGAGGUUGGAGACUCCUAGGCGGUAGGAGUCUUUCAGAGAGGAAUCAACCUUUGUGAUUACCCCCGGAAAAGUUUGUGAGGGUUUGGAGAUCACCCCAAGGUCUAUCACUAGUGGUUGAGAAACGCCUCCGUGGUGUUGUCUCAAAGGGAUAAUAGGGUGAGCCUUCAUGGCGUUGGUGUGCCUUCAUGGUAACAUCCACCUCUCUAACGGUGACUAGCUUCCCUCCAAGGAAGUGAACAUCGGCUUACAUCCUCAUCUCCCGGAGUUGUGGUCAUUCCUAACCCUAACUUUCUACUUGUGUUUACUUGUCUCUUAGCACUUGCUUAUAUCAUAUUGUGCUUGCUUACUUACAUGCUCGUGUUACUAGCUUAGUACUUAGUACUCACUUGCAAUUGUUAGGCUCACCUUCAUAUUCCGCAUUAUUGCCUAAAAUUGUUAAGUAAUAAUUAAAAUUAGUAAUUGUACCUAUUCACCCCCCUCUAGGUCCAUCUCGAUCCUUUCAAUUGGUAUCAGAGCCUCGUGCUCUAUUCUUGUGGCUUAACCGCCCUAGAGCGAGAUGAACCCCGAUGGGACUCCCCCGGUUGCGGAUCCGAAGGAUAAAGGCGAGGCUUCUUCUAAAGUCAAGUCCUUUACGUCUGAGGAUCUGGAACGGGCCCUUGCUAAGCAAAAAUAGGAGCAUGAUGCUUCUCUUGAGGCCUUGGUCUAAAUGAGAUUAGCCACGUUGUCCACGGUGCUUGCACCACUCUUGGGUGAUGCAGCUUCGAGGCCAACUGUGCCUGCUCCGUCACUUGGUCAACAACCUUCUAGCAAUGAACACUCCAGUGUUCCUUGGCUUUAUGCAAGACCUCAGGUUGAGAAACCGAGAUAUAAUCCUCAAGGCAAACCUCCUUUACUUGAUGCCACUUCCGAUUUUGCCUUGUCGAGAGUUGCUAUGCAGGAUCAUCUUCGAUAUGAAAACGAUGAAAUGUUGUAGAUCUUGGAGUAUGAUUACCGUGUGGUUGAUCCAAAGAAUCCUACACCAAGAGAAAUUUAUGACAAGAAUCUCAAUGACACAACAAUCAUGUGUAUAAGGAGAGGUAUGGUUGAAAAGCGAAGGAGACCGUUCAUCCACAUCACAAGUGCCAAGGAAAUAUGGGAAAACAUUAUAAGAUCCAAGACCGGCACCUCUACCCUCCGGAGUGCUCAAUAUGAAAUUGCCAAGGAGCAAUUGCAAAACUUUUGUAUGGAGAAAGGUGAAACCCCCAACCAACUCCUUGAGCGUCUCAUGACUCUCACUGCUGACAUUGAGUCGUGUGAGUGUGACAAGACACAAGAUGGAUUCAACAUGACUAAGUGAUUCCCUGUGGAUAACUUGCUUCAUGCUCUUGCCCCAUAUCACCAUCAAAUGGUGUGGGACAUAAGACAACACCAUGCCUUCAAGGAAAUGACUACAAAUGACAUUAUAUCUACCUUCCAACUAUUUGAAGAGUCAAAGGCUAAUGCCACAAAACAUCUUGCCAUGCAUGGUACCCCAACAUCAAAGAUCAAUCAUGCAUUGAAGGCCAAGCAUGUAUGUGAAGAUGAGCAAAGUGAAGAAGAAGAAGAAGAUGAUGAUGAUGAAGAUGGUGAUGAGAUUGAAUCCGAUGAGGGCCCUUCAUAUGAAGACAUGGCUCUCUUUGUCAAGAAGUUUAGCGCAGGAAAAUUCAAGGGAAGAUUUCAAAAGAAGAAAGUAAGAAAAUGCUACAACUGUGAAGAAACCAACCACUUCUCCAACGAGUGCCCUUAUGAGAAGAGAGAGGAUAAACCAAGGUUUCCCAAGACCUUUCCAAAGAAGAAGUUGGCAAAUCCUUUGAACUCCAAGCUCAAGAAGAGAGAUGGGAAAGCAAUGGUUGCUCAAGAAGAAUCCAAUCCUGAUGAUGUUAGUGGUGUUGCUGGAGUUGCUCAAGACUCUCAAAACACUUUGAGGUUAGUGAACAAGAGUGGUGAUGUGGUCACCUACAACUACAUGAAAGACUACAAGGGCAAUGCUCACAAGUGUCUAAUGGCAAAGGCCGUGGUAGAAGAUGGAGAGGACCAAAGCUCUCCUGACAAGGUCAAGGUAACCCCAUGUUCAAAUCCUCCUCUUUUCACUUAGUCUACUCCUAGUGAUGAGUAUCUUGAUGCGGAGGAUAGUUAUGAGGAUGAUGAUCUAGAUGAUCCUAUGCUUGCUAAACUUAAUAAGUUCAUGUGCUCCCUCAAAGGAAAGAAGCUCACUAUGUUUCGUAUGCUUAUGGAGAUGGUGAGUAAGCACACCAUCACCAUUAAGGAACUCGAAACCCUCGUCACCGAGGAAAAGGAAAAAUGUGAAAUCCUUGAGCAGAAAGUCCAAUACAAGGAAGCACGAAAUGAUGAACUAUGCUUAAAAAUUGGUGCAAACAUUGAUGUUCAUACUAAAGAUCUUGCCUCCUUGAAAAAGGCUAUUUACUCUUGCGAGGAGUUGAUGAAUGAUAAAAGUAAGCUUGCGAAGUCUCAUGCUUCUCUCUCUAAGGAUUGUGAGCUUCUAUCCGUGUCCCUCAAGACUAAGGAAGAAGAGCUCACCCUUCUUACAAAGAGUUUUGAGACGCUCAAACUUACUUACCUUGAAACUCUAGCCAAGGCUUACUCUUCUCCUAUUAUCAAUGUUGAUGCUUGCACUACUAACUCUAGUAGUGAUAUAGCAUCUAUUCUUGAGGAAAAUCGCUUUCUCAAGGCUCAAAUCGAGAAAGGUCUCAUGACAUGUGCUCAAGGGCAAAAGAACCUUAAUGAGGUAUUGAGCCAACACAAUGAGGUGUUUGCCAAAGAGGGACUCGGGUUUGACCCAAGCACAAGCAAGAAGAAUAUGUCCUCUCAAAAGUGCACAACCCCUCUAAAGGAAACAUUUGUACAAGAAGGACACAAGGAGAAAGGUAAGGUUGUUAGUGGGAAGGCCACAAGGGGCAUGCCCACUCUCAAAAAGCCAAAAGAGUUCAUGCCUCCAUCCUAUGUACUUCGUAAGACUAAGGAUGGAGAAGUUUAUGAUAAAUUUGUUGGCCCGCGAAAUGCUUUCCGAUACUAUGCUAUUUGGGUCCCUAAUACCCUUAUGACUAACUUGAGAGGUCCCAUUGCAAAAUGGGUGCCUCUAACCAAGUCAUAAUUGUGUGUAGGUUGCCUUCUCCAGUGGAGUAAAAUGGGUGAUUGAUAGUGGAUGUACCAAUCAUAUGACCGGAGAUAGCAAAUUGCUCUACGAUUUCAUGGAAGCUAUUCAACCAUUCAUGAGCAUUAUGUUUGGUGGAGGUUCAAGACAGAUACUCGGGUUGGGCAAGGUGGCUAUCACAAAUGACAUGUCUCUUGCAAAUGUCAUGCUUGUACAAUCCCUUAAAUACCAUUUGCUUUCUGUUCGCCAAUUGGCUUAUGUUGGUUAUGAUACACUUUUUGGACUAACAGAUGUGAAAGUCUUUAAGAGAGAUACUCUCGAAGUGGCCUUUGUUGGAGAGUUGGAUGGAAACCUUUACACGGUUGAUUUAUCGAAAGAGAGCACAUUCCACGCAACUUGUCUAAUGGCCAAGGCCGACAAGGGGUGGCUAUGGCAUCGCCGGCUAGCCCAUGUUGGCAUGAGAAAUCUUCAAGAUCUCUUAAAAGGGAAUCACAUCCUUGGACUAACCAAUGUCUCUUUUGAGAAAGAUCGUGUGUGUAGGGCAUGCAUAGCCGGGAAGCAACAUCAAUCAAAGCACCCACCCAAGAACAUUGUGACUACUUCAAGGCCCCUGGAGCUCCUUCAUGUGGAUCUUUUUGGGCCUCCUUCAUGGGAUAGUCUUGGUGGGAAAAAGUAUGGACUUGUCAUUGUUGAUGAUUACUCAAGAUAUACAUGGGUGUUUUUCCUCAAGUCCAAGGACGAGACUAAGAUAACCUUCAUUGAUUUUGCCAAGCAAGAACAACGCAAGUUUGACAAAGAGAUCUUGGCAAUAAGAAGUGACAAUGGCUCUGAGUUCAAGAACUAUACCUUGGAAGAAUUCCUUAGUGUUGAAGGGAUUGAGCAUCAAUAUUCAGCUCCAUACACUCCUCAGCAAAAUGGUGUAGCCAAAAGGAAUAACCGUACACUUGUGGAGAUGGCAAGGUCCAUGUUGGAUGAAUACAAGUCACCACAUCGUUUUUGGGCCGAAGCUGUCAACACUGCAUGCCAUGCAUCAAACCGGCUCUUCCUCCGUACUAUAUUUGAAAAGACUCCAUAUGAGCUCUUAACAGGAAACAAGCCAAAUGUCAAGUACUUUCGUGUAUUUGGGUGUCAAUGUUUCAUCCUCAACAAAAGAGAACAUUUAGGAAAAUUUCAAUCCAAAACAAUUGAGGGCAUAUUUGUUGGCUAUGGAUCAAACUCUCACGCCUAUAGAGUCUACAACAAAUCCAAUGGAUGUGUUGUAGAAACUUGUGACGUGGUGUUUGAUGAAUUUAAUGGCUCCCAUGGGGAGCAAGUUGAUCUAAGUGAUGUAGGUGAAGAAGAUUCCUCUCAAGAUAUCUUGACCAUGGGUGUUGGUGCACUUCUUCCAAUGGAACAAGAACCUCAUGAUGAUGAAGAAGAAGAUGGAAGACUCACACAUCAUCAAACUACUCCAACACCCAUACCACCACAAACUCCUAUUGUUCAACUGAUGCCCUUAGUCCAAGUACAAGAAGAUGAUCAAGUUCAUCCUCAUGAUAAUCUUCAAGAACAAGAUCAUCAUCAAGGGGAAGAACAAGAAAGUCCAAUCAUUGAUGAUGAACCUCAACAAAUGCAAUAUGAGCAUGAAGAUCUUCCACCACACAUUAAUGAUCCAUAUGUUGAGGAUGUGGAUGAUGGACAUGAAGUUGAACCUCGAGAAACCCUAACCUCCAUCAUGCCUCGAGUCGCCGGUCGUGUUGAUGUUGACAAAAUUCUCACCGGCAUAUCGGAAGGUAGAGUCACUCGUAAACAUUUGACAAACUUUUGUGCUCACUUCUCGUUUGUGUCUAGUGUUGAGCCCCUCAAGGUACAAGAUGCAUUGAUGGACAAUGAUUGGCUCGUAGCUAUGCAAGAAGAGUUGAACAGUUUUGAACGCAACCAAGUAUGGUCAUUAGUCAAGAGGCCACCUACCGAGCACAACGUCAUUGGAACAAAAUGGAUUUUCAAGAACAAGCAAGAUGAGAAUGGUGUAAUCAUCCGUAACAAGGCAAGGUUAGUGGCACAAGGGUAAUCACAAGUUGAAGGUUUGGACUUUGGUGAGACCUUUGCCCCCGUUGCCCGUCUUGAAUCCAUUCGCAUCUUACUUGCUUAUGCCGCUUUCAAUGGUUUUACUUUACAUCAAAUGGAUGUGAAGAGUGCUUUCCUUAAGGGUCCUUUACAAGAAGACGUAUAUGUGUCACAACCACCUGGGUUCGUUGAUCCCGAUCACAAAGACUAUGUGUAUAAACUUCAUAAGGCUUUGUAUGGCCUCAAACAAGCACCUCGUGCUUGGUAUGAUCAUCUUAAGAAGUUUUUACUCGAUGAUGGCUUUGUGAGAGGGGUGAUCGAUCCCACUCUUUUUACUAAGAGGGACAAGGGUGAUUUGAUCUUAUGCCAAAUCUAUGUAGAUGAUAUAAUUUUUGGUUCUCCUAACAUUCAUUUGUGCAAGAAGUUUGCGGACUCCAUGACCAAGAAUUUUGAAAUGUCACUCAAUACGGAUUUGAAGUUCUUUCUUGGAUUUCAAAUUCAACAAUUUCAAGAAGGAAUUUUCUUGUGUCAAGCAAAAUACCUCAAGGAUAUCCUAGAGAAGUUCGGCAUGACUGAUGCUAGUCCAUGUAAGACACCCAUGCCAACCAAAAUUGUACUCAUUGAAGACACCAACGGUAUCCCUUUUGACCCAUCUAAAUACCGCUCUAUGAUUGGUUCAUUGCUUUAUCUUUCUGCAUCUAGACCAGACAUCAUGUUUAGUGUAUGCAUGUGUGCUAGAUUUCAAGCUUUCCCUAGGGAAAGUCAUCAUAAGGCGGUUAAGCAUAUUAUUAGAUACCUUGUUCACACCCCAAAGUUGGGUCUAUGGUACCCCAAGGAUGCUAAGUUUGAUCUCAUUGGGUACACGAAUGCGGAUUGGGCUGGAGACAAAGUGGAUCGUAAGUCCACCUCCGGUGCAUGUCAAUUUCUUGGUCGCUCCUUGGUAAGUUGGUCCUCGAAGAAACAAAAUUGUAUUGACUCUCUACCGCAGAAGCAGAAUACAUUGCAGCCGGCAGUUGUGCAACUCAAUUACUAUGGAUGAGACAAACCUUGAAGGAUUAUGGUAUCACUUAUAGACAUGUGCCUCUCCUAUGUGAUAAUGAAAGUGCCAUAAAUAUUGCUGAGAACCCCAAGGAUCAUCUCCGGACUAAGCACAUUGAUAUUAGGUAUCACUUCUUGAGAGAUCAUGUGGAGAAGGGUGAUAUUCACAUCGAUCAUGUUGGUACAGAUUUGCAACUAGCAGAUAUUUUCACCAAACCAUUGGAUGAAGCAAGGUUUUGUCGACUUAGGUGUGAACUUGGUAUCUUGGAGCUUGACAAUAUUAUGUGAAAUCUAGCACCCAUUCAUGCAUGAACUUAAUGUCUUAUCUUGAUGUAGGCAUAUAUUUAGGGGAAUACACUCAACUAAUGAGUAUCCUCACCCUAUGAAAUGCAUAAAAAGAACAAACACUCUCAAAGCUACCAUGACAUCUAACUAUGGUGCUUUCCAUGAUGGAGUAGUGAUUAUGCACUCAAAGUUCCAAUCUUUCCGUGCCAUGUCACGUAUACUCAUACAUGGUGACAGUAGCCACCACUCUUGUCAUGAGAACAAUAUAUGAGCGGUAUAUGUUUUAUUAUUGUUGGCAUAGGAUACUCUUUGCUUAACAGAAAUUCUUACUACAUACGAUAAUCAUCAUCUCCUCAUCACGAUUUGCUGCACAAAUAAUUGUACCCUACUCCUAUCAAAAACUCUUAUAUGCUUCCGGUCGUCUGUUAUGUUCCGAACAUCCGUAAAAAGCUCUCUGAUAUCUUUUCCUGGCCCAGGCGCCGGACGUCCGUGGAUCCCUGGUCAUCCGGACGUUUCUCCGACACCGGACAUCCAUCGCGCUCCGGUCGUCCGUAAAAAGCCUUCUGUUGACCUCAGCACGGUCGUCCGGCCUAUCCGGACGUCCGUUCAUUUUUUCCUGGCCCAGGCACUAGAUGUCCGUAAAUCUCCGGUCAUCCGAACGAUUUCUAGGGCACCUAUAUAUAGCGCGGGGUGGGUCUUCGGGUUAGUUACCCUAAUCCAUUCAACCUCUCUCCUCUGUUCCCCACUGUUGCCGCCCCUGUCUCACGGCUCCUCACCGCGGUCGCACGCCGCCCGUGCCCCUCGCCGUGGCCGCUCACCGCUCGGGGCCCUCGCAGUUGGCACGCCACUCGCCGUGGCCGCUCGGGUCGCCCUGUCCCCGCUCGAGCUCCUCGCCGUUUGUCACGCCGCUUGCUGUGGCCACUCGGCCCGCUGACUGAUUAGCUCCGGUCACCGUCUCCCUCUGUGUUCUUCACUCCAAGGUAGCACCCAUCUCUUCUUCUCUCAUCCAUCAAUUCGUCGAUCUGGUGGUGGGUUGUUGAUUUGGGUUUACCUCCUCUUCUAGGUCGGAAUGGUGAAGACCAAGAGCACUGCUCGCAAGGACACCCCAUCUGGGUCUUCUCGUCCCUCCCAUCACGGUGACUCCGACUAUUCCCAAGAACGGGCUCGUCCUAAGAAGCAUGUUCCUCCUCCUCGCCGGUCUCCAAGCGAUGACUUGUUGGAGGGCUCUGACUAUGAAGAUGAGAUGGCUCAUAUGGAGCGUGGAGAGCCCGUCCGUGUUCGCACCACUACUCCCAAGCCCGGGACUCGGCGGCCCACCUUCCAGCCUCCUCCUCCUCCGGUCCAACCUCACGGUGAUGCUCGUCAUAUCUCACUUGAACCCCCUUUACCACACGGCCGUCACGUUAAGCGGUUCAACCUGGUUCCCAUUGGCUCCUAUCUUAAGUUGCGUCAUGAUGUUGAUCAAUUUACGGUUGCUCGUGACUCUAGGGACCCUCGUUUUCGCACUAAUGUCCAAGCUGACAUUCUUACCACUAUCAUCAUUCCUAAGGGUCUUUCUGUGCAUUUGUGCAUCGAUUUAGAGCAUAUUCGUACUCAUCCGAAAAAAUAUUCCGGGGCUAUUGAGCUCAUUGAGUCCUCCAAUCUUGCUGCCCCAUUACAUUUCAACAUGACUUUAACCAAGCCGCCAUUCAUAAAUUUUAUGCCACAUGCUUUUUGGUCCAAAUAACACUGUUACUUGGAUGACCGCUGACACAAAGCUCUUGGCUUCUUACUCUCAAUUUGUUACUGCCCUUGGUUUUCCUGACACCGGGUUCAAAAUUCACAAUGAGGACCCCGACCAUAGACCCAAGGGCCCUGAUGCAUGUGCUGAUCUUAUCAAACCCAUUUCCCAAUUGACUGAUGAUGAGAAACAUAAGGGUUUUAACCAAGUCUCCAUUUGGUGUGCUCCUUUCUUUAUUAUCUAUCAAUGUGCCAUUCACACCAUUUAUCCUAAGAUGGGUGACAAGGGGUACUGCAGUAGCUACUGCAUUAAUGUCAUGCAUCGCCUCUAUACGGCUCCCAAAGGGAAGAUCAAUGUGCCUCAUUUUCUAUGACAUGAGAUUCGCCUCGCUUCAUUUCAGCACAAGCGGGCCUUUCCUCAUGCUCCCUUUCUUCAGGCUUUCAUCGAGAGUAUGGCUUCGUUUCCUAUUGCCCACACUCAUUUGCAUGAGCAAUGGGUCAUUCGCCCACACAUGGCUGAUAACUAUGUUCCCAAGGACUCUUCCACUUCUGCUCAUCCGCGCCCCACUGCUGCUAGCAUCCCUUGUUCUGCUCCCUCCGGAUCUGCACCCUUUGGUUGCAUUGCACGCUUUUUGGGGAAGGCCCACUCUGCCUUGAUGAAGGCUGUUUCGUUUAACUGCUCCCAAACCACGUUGUUGUCACACGCCUUAUCACCUCCAAGAAUGCUCUGAAGACUCGUUUGAGAGACUCCGGAGUGUUCGAUGUGAGUGAUGAUGACCGCUUUCCUGAUGAGCCACCUUCUGAUUGGCUUUCCCUCGGGUCCUGAGUGGGCCAAGUUCUUUGAUGAGGCUGGUGGCAGUGGUGCACAUGAUGAUGAUGAUGAUGAUGAUGCUCUCUAAUGCUGUUAUGCAGCCCUUUCGGAUAUUUGAUGCCAAGGGGGAGUAGGCUCUAUGCAUACUAUGAUAUUAGCUUGUUAGCUUGUAAUCAAACUCAUUGCUAUGUUAUUGAUUAGCUUGUAUCGAACUCAUGUUAUGAGAUUGUAGAAACUUAUGUUCUAUGCUAUGAGUGAUGAAACUAUAUGGAGCUUAUUGUCUUGAUUAUCUUGUGUAUGAGAUUUGGUUGUGUUGGUAUCAUAUUGAGGGGGAGCUCUCUUCAUGUUUAUUCUCUAUGGUAUCAUAUUGAGGGGGAGCUCUCUCCUUUCUUAUUCUUUGCUUAUGGAGCUCCACAACAAAUCCUUUCGAUGUUUAGAUUUUUAGAUUUAUGUGUGUGCAUAUAUGUUGUCAUCAACUACAAAAAGGGGGGAGAUUGAAAGUGCAAUCAUGCCCUUAAUCAUAUUUUGAUGUUGAUGACAACAUGUAUGUUGGGACUAAUCAUGUUUAUCAAGUAUAUCUUAGGAUUAUGUCUCGAAGGCCGUGUGUGGAUCAUGACUAGGGACAAAUGCAUAUAACUCAAGAUUGGAAAUGCAAGACAUUAGCCUUGGCUUUGUUUACAGUUUGUUCUUGAGUAUAGGUAUCCCACACUAUUAAGAGGGGAUCGUUGGAACUAAUGAAAGAUUUGCUCAAAUCCACAACUCCAGUUUUUUUCUCUCCGGCCGUCCGGUACUCUACGAACGUCCGAUCCCUCUCAGCUGUCCGGACGUCCGGCUCUCUACGGUCGUCCAGUGUUUCACCAACAGAAUGUUAUUUACAGAUUUCCGGACCUCUCCGGACGACCGACACGUCUCGAAUGUCCAGUAUUUCCACCACAUAACCAUAUUUACGGAUUUCCAGGCCUCUUCGGACGUCUGGGCUCUGGACGACCGACACGUCUCGGACGUCCGUGUGCUGUGUACAGAUUCGUGGCUUAUGUGUUCCGAGCGGCCGGACGACCGAUAACUAUCGGACGUCCGGACAUACUUGUGCCACCUGACGUUCGACCCCUCCUGUGCACUUAAGUGGCUCAAACGUUCACUUGUUUCCACACCCACUAUAUAUAGGCUUCUUCCUUACAUGGGAUAAGGUUGACCAUUCACUUUGAGCUUGCCAAGAAUACUUUUCACUCUCUCUCUCAGUCCUCUACACCAAAUCCUAGAUCCCCAAGGGAUUUAGGAACAUUUGAGAGAAGUUCUCCAAUCAAGUGAUAGAUCCACUCCGUCCCCUUCUUUGCACGAAAGGAAUUUGUGAUUUGAGCAAGUCUUGAGCUUUUCCCCAACGUUCUUAUUACUCUUGGUGGUUGGAGACUCGUAGGCGGUAGGAGUUUUUGGAGAGGAAUCAACUUUUGUGAUUACCCCCAGAAAAGUUUGUGAGGGUUUGGAGAUCACCCCAAGGUCUACCUAGUGGUUGAGAAACGCCUCCGUGGUGUUGUCUCAAAGGGAGAAUAGGGCGAGCCUUCAUGGCAUUGGUGUGCCUUCGUGGUAACAUCCACCUCUCUAACGGUGACUAGCUUCCCUCCAAGGAAGUGAACAUCGGCUUACAUCCUCGUCUCCUAGAGUUGUGGUUAUUACUAACCCUAACUUUCUACUUGUGCUUACUUGUCUCUUAGCACUUACUUAUAUCAUAUUGUGCUUGCUUACUUACAUGCUCGUGUUACUUGCUUAGUACUUUGUACUCACUUGCAAUUGUUAGGCUCACCUUCAUAUUCCACAUUAUUGCCUAAAAUUGUUAAGUAAUAAUUAAAAUUAGUAAUUUUACCUAUUCACCCCCCUCUAGGUCCAUCUCGAUCCUUUCAACAAGAUAUGAAAAUCUUGGUUGCCUUCUUUUUGUAAAUUUAGAAAAAGUGUGGAGGACGUGGAAGACAACUAGGUGGAGACUGGCGCACUUAAGUAGUUCGAAGUUGUGUUCUUGUCUGUUUUUUUAUUCUUUUCCAGAUCUAUGGGUCUCAGCGAAACUAAGUAUCUUGACAUUGAUCAGUGUGGUGAGCCACGCCUUCCGUACAAUGCAAGGUAGAAAACACGAUUUUGUUGUUGUCGACAUUCGUAACACAAAGAAUUUAUGGAGGGCUAAGAGGUGAGAUAUAUAUGAUGGAUUUUAUAUUUUUGCAAGGAAGAGAUAUGAUAGAAUUAUAUAUAUAUAUAUAUAUAUAUAUAUAGAAGUCCAAUCACACAUCCACUAGACCAACAAACACACAAGAUCCACAAGGUACAUGAAUAAUCAAAGGGAAACAAGAUACAUGGUAGAGUUCAUCCCAAAUCCUAUGAAGGAGAUGAGGGCUUGAUGAUUCACUUGGGGAAUCCUUAUCCCUUAGGAGGGCUUGAUGAUCCUAUGGAUCCUUCUCCUUUAGGAGGUCUUGCACUCCAAUGGAGUCCUCUCCCUCAAGAGGAGGGCUUGAUGAUCCUAGGGAUCCUUCUCCCUUAGGAGGAAACCCACAAGGGGAGAUACAUGAGCUAAGCUCUAUGAUUUGUGUCUAUUCUUAGCUUUGUCUGAAUGGGGGAGGAAGGGGAGUAUAUAUAGGUCCAAGGGAUGAAGGGGUAAGUAGGGACGAGAUGGGGAUACAAGGGCCAAGCCCAACAGCCACGCACAGGGGCCCCCGUGUGCACGGGGUAAGUGGAUCCCGUGCGCACGGGGUAUCCAGAGACUUGAUGCAUGAGCCCGUGUGCACGGGGUCCGUGAGGCCCGUGGACAUGGGGGUCCCAUGGGCACGGUUCACACCCGUGCGCACGGGGUCUUCAGGACCGCCAGUCUGGGAGGCCCGUAGGCAUGGGGUCGGAGGGGCCCGUGCGCACGGGGUCGCCUGGGAGCUGCUGCUGCCUUCUUCUUGGCGCUUCCUUCUCUGCUUCCAGGCUUCCCUCUUGGAUGGUGUAGAUGUUCUCUUCUGCAUGAACUCGUCCUCGCUAAGUGUGAAGCUCCGACAAUACCUAUGCAUGCACACGGAAGGAAUGUCAAGUAGUAUACCAUCCUCAAAGGGGUCAAGUGAACACGUGUAAAUGAGAAGAUUCACCUUUAUGUAUGUGAAGUAGAUGUCGCACGUGUCACUUGCCAAGUGGACUCUUGACAUGGUGAUGACCAUAGGAUGCUCCGCAUCAUCCCCUCCCCCUUGGGAAAGAUCCGACCUCGGAUCGAAAUCCAAAUCACCAUGGGAAAGAGAUGAUGUCAUCGUGCAGAAGUGGACGAUCACCAAGCAUUCGCCAUCUUAUAGUUGCAAAUUGGCACCUCCAAUGUCACACCAUCUUGUAACUCCUUCAAAAGGUGCAAAGAUAACAAGCACUUGGAAAAACAAAUGUGGUUGGCGUAAACCAAAACCAGGCAUUCAAGAGGUGAUUCACCCAACAAGUGUUGUCAUCAAGCAUAGCAUAUUGUUUGACAAAGAAGUGUGGCAUGGCAUUUAAGCAUAUAAAUUGAGCACAAUCAAGUACAUCAUGGGAACAAGCAUGCAAAUGGGAGGUCGAGAUGCAAAUAUAUGUGAUAAGUGAACAAGCAUCUACCUCAAGGUCAUAGCAAGCAUGCAUAAAGUGCUCAAUGAACGGUCCAUGGUAGGCAUAAGAGUCAUGCACAACACCAAAUAUAGCGAAAUGUCUAAACACGUGGGUCAAGUGCAAGACAAUCCAAGCAUAACGUGCAUAGGGUGUAGUGAAGAUAUCGUGGCACUCAACACAAUGGAAAGAGCAAUUGUUCAACAUGUGUGAGGCAAACAAGUCAAUCAUGGUAAUCAUGUUGUGCAAACUAGUGGAGCAAAGAUGCAACACACUAGAGGAAAUGAUGGCAAUCAUGUCAUGUGAGAAAAUAGUGGAUAUAGGCAAUGCACAUGACAUAUCACAAGCACAAACACAAAGCAAGAUCAUAGUAUCAUCAUAGGAAUGGGUCAUAGGUGGAACAUGGCAAUAACAAGCAAUAUAUCCACCAAGCUUGCAAAUACACAUACAAGUAGUAGAAAAAAUCAUCAUGUGUAAUGCAAAGCAUGGGUCACAAAUGCAUGGCAACGGUAUAGGAAUGGGCAUAUCAUGCAAAGUGAACAUGGCAAGAUGGGCAUAUAAUAUGUAAUGGACAACAACCCAUAGCCAAGUGAGGGCCAUGUAGAAGAAAUGCGCGAAGAGAGCGGUGGGAAAGACAAUCCAUGGGAUCCCAAGUCAUCAUUGCUCUCUAGAGCUCGUUUUGUCAACUCGUGAGAUUGCGAGGUUGACAAGUAUUCAUGGGUACCUACACAAAAGAGACACAAAUGAAAGAAAUUGUGUGUGUGGUAAAUGUACACAUCAUCCAUCAUGAUGUGUAUGUGCACGUGUGAGUUAGCACAAGAUAAGCAAUGCUCAAAGAAAUUUGAGGCAUGGUAGAGAAACAUGUCAUCCAUCAUGAAAGAAUAGUUAUUGUGUAUGACAUGAUGGGGACACAAAUUGAGAAUGCAAGUAUAUGGCACAUCAAUAGCAUGUUUAUUCAUGGGGAGCAUAUGGUGCACACAAGUAUUGGGAUCAUGCAAUGAAUGGGAUGGAUCAAAAUCUCCUAAAAUGUAUGAGGGAACUAUGGGGGUCUCCUCAUGAGAAAUAGCAGAAACAUCAUAUGGAGAAAAUGGUCAACAUCCAAAACAAUGCAUAUCCGAAGCUAGGUGGUCAUGGCAUGGCAUAUGAGAUAAAUGAUGCAAAGGGAUCAUAUCAAUAUCAUCACAAGAAAAACAAAUGCCAAUAACCAUGGGCUUGUCAUCUAUGCCAUAAGUGAAAAUUGGGUUUAUUUUAAUGGCAUAUGCAUAGUCACUAUGACGAGAUUGCAAAUAUGACAUAUGCUGGAUCUCAUGCAUAGCAUAUGACAAGUCAAGCGGAUUAUCAAACAUGAUGUGACCUAAAGAAUUGUCACAAGAAAUCCUAUGUAACAUGGCAUCACAACUAAUAGACUCCACAUGAGAAUCACCGUACUCAUCAUAAAUGGGCAAAUCAUCAAAUGGGGAAAUCAUACUAGCAUGAAGCAUGGUACUAGGUGGAUCAACAUCAUUCAAACAAUCAAUGUCAAGAACAUCCACUAGUGGGACAAGAGCAUCACCGUCACCUAUGUUACCUUUGUCGUUCCACUCAAGUGGUGUAGGUGAGGUGGGGAAGACCAAAUCAUGGUCAUCUUCAUCAUGAUGGAACCAUGUGGGGGGGUGCAUCAUAUUCCACCAUGGCCAUCAUCUUGUCCAAAGGAAGGACGAAGUCGUCGAGGAUCGGCACAUCAUCAUAUAUGGGACCUAGCAUCAAAUGAGAAGACACAAUAGAGGUAGAGGUUAAGUUGCUAGAAAUCAAAAUGGCCUCAUAUGCCUCAUCAACUACCUCACUCUCUCUAUGUGUUGGUGGCUCACUCACUCCCUCAAGGUAGGUGCACUCAAUGUCGCAUAUGGUGGAGUCACUCAAAUCACUCAAGUGGUUGUGGUGGUGGCUCUCCUCACAUAGGAAUUGGGGCAGCUCAUCAUAUAUGGGGCUAGUGGUGAAGUCACUCUCACUCUCAAUAUGGUGGCUAAAGUCACUCAAGUCAUCAUAUGUUGCCGUGGUCGAAGGGAAAAUCCCAUGCUCAACCAUCUCAUAGUCAUCGCCGUGGAUGAAGGCCGAAGAUGGCACAUCAUCACUCUCGUCGUGGAUGAAGGCCGAAGAUGGCAUAUCAUCACUCUCGCCAUCUUGUAGCAUGGUCGUUGCAAAGUGAGCUCGGGGUUGAGUAGACUUGGCCUUCUUGAGUUCUUGCUCCGCCUUGAGAGCACCAAAGUAGUUGUCAUCGAGGGACUUGUAGUUCUCGAGGAAGGUAGUCUUGGAUAUGUCGUUGUUCAAUCCCAUCAUGAAGUAUAACUUCGUCCAAAUGGGGUCGUCCACGUCGGCACGUUGCAAGUCUUCCUUCAUGUUCUUGAAGUACUCGUCGAGGGACUUGGAUCCUUGUAUGGUGUUCUCCAAUUGACGUUGAACAUGUUCCGUGUAGGUUGGAGGCACAAAUUCUCGCCGCAUCACUUUCUUCGUCUUGGACCAACUCAUGUGGAAGCUCCUCGAAGGUGUGUGAAGCCAUCAAAUCAACGCAUAGUCAUGGAAGGUACUUGUGGCACACUUCACUUGAACUUCAGAGGGUACUUGAUGUAGCUUGAGGUAGUCGUCCAUCUUGCACUCCCACUCGAGGUAUUCAUCGGGGUCAUUAGUCCCAAAGAAUGGAAUCUCGUCGGCGAGGUUGAAGUCGUUGUAGCUCGAGGGAGUAGUGGACUUAAGCUCGUGGAGUAGGCGAAGAUGCCGUACAUCCGAAGGCGAAGAUGCCUUGAAGUAACUUGGCGAAGAUGCCAAAGGUGUUGAAGAAGCUCCAGCCUUGGGGUUGAUGUCGUAGCUCUGUAUAGCCCGUGUGCACGGGGGUGCAGGAGGCCGUGUGCACGGGGUCCCGUGUGCAUGGGAGUCGAGGGACCGUGUGCAUGGGGGUGCAGGAGGCCGUGUGCACGGGGUCCCAUGUGCACGGGGGUCGAGGGCCCGUGUGCACGGGGUUGGCAGAGCAGCCAACGCGUGUCUUGAAGCUCGCUCUUCAUGGUCAUGUCGAUGUCGAUGCUUGUGUGUACUUGCCGGAGAUGGUAGCUCAGGAGUCUUUGCACUUGAGCAUAUUCUCGAAGAUGAGGAAGACCGCUUGCGGUUCUUGAUGAGGGCCUUGAGCUCCUCCAUUUGAGCUUGCAUCUUGGCAUCAAAUUUGUUCUUCAUAUCAUCGAACUCUUCGUCGUUGUUGUAGACUGGAGAUGAUGUGCUUUGCCUAUCCAUCACAAGACUCGAGCAAAGGUGAGUAGGAAAUGAGAUAAACAAUACCAAGCUACAUUUUCCCAAAGUUGAGGAUGUAUCUCGUAUCACUUAAUGUGAGAUGAAAGAAUAGUGGAAUUGGUACCGGACCUGUUCACUCACACCUACAAGUAAAAGCUUAUCGAGUGGCUUGGUUAGGACAAGUGGCACAAAUUUCAUGAAAAUUUAAGUUCAAGAUAUUGUAAAUGUUGAAAUAAAUCCAAAGGACUCAAAAUGCAAAGCAAGUGAUCACAAAUAUAGAAGAGGGCAAUAAAGAAACACACACGGUGGGAUAAUGGGGCUUGUGCAACUAUAGGGAUGAGCAAUACAAAAUUGCCUAAUGAAGACGAAGCUCGUGUUGCACAAACACUAGGAGAGCACUAGCUUGAUUGCACACUUGGGCACGAUUCACCACCUGGCACCAACCUAUAUGCAUGCAAGCUAAAUGUUCCAUAUUCCAUGUAUCCUUGUGCACAAGUAUUUCUUUUCAUGCUCAACUCUUUGCUUAUAAGCUUAUGAUCAUUCUCUUUCUUGCUUAAAAGCUUCUUUUUUUGACUUUCCUCUUCCUUUCCACUAUGCUUAAUGAGACUCAACCACAAAUAAGGGACAAGUAUCACAAGAUAUGCACGGGAUUAAACAAUGGCACAAUAUGAUGUAUCUAAUGAUGCAACAAUAUGAUAUCGUAUCACUAUGGUGCACAAGUUUUCGCGAAGCCCGACAAUACUCGGAUAGCUAGUCUCAAUAGGUAUGAAGGUAUUCGCAAAGAUGGUGGGGCUAUCAAGAUGUAAUGGCAAGGAAGGAAAAUUUUAUGAAGGAAUGGAUACCUUCGUCGCAGUUAACCUUUCACGAAGUCGGGGGUAACCGGCCUUGCUUCCGGUUGAAGAUGGUCUCAAAGGAUGGAUGGUCGUCGUCGAUGUGGAAGCUCGUGGUGGAUGUAGUCGAUGGACCGAUACAAGUGACCGGUGGUGGAUGAAGAUGCAACCGUCCCUAAGUAGCCGAAACACCUUAGGAGACUCAAAUCGCAACUCAAACAACCACAAAUAUCAAAGGAACCAAAAUGGGUUAGUUUGCGGAAGUUUUAUGUGGUGGUGCGAAAGUUAUGGCGGAGAGCCGAUGCAAAAGAUGCAAAAUGGACAAAAUUUGAUGGAGUCAAAUGGUGGUAAAACCAAGAUGAGCAGCUCAGGCACGUCACUAGCUUUUCAAUGAGCCAAAGAACACCCAAAUCGGAGUUCGGAUGCAAAAGUUACGGCCAAAACGGUGAAGUCNNNNNNNNNNNNNNNNNNNNNNNNNNNNNNNNNNNNNNNNNNNNNNNNNNNNNNNNNNNNNNNNNNNNNNNNNNNNNNNNNNNNNNNNNNNNNNNNNNNNNNNNNNNNNNNNNNNNNNNNNNNNNNNNNNNNNNNNNNNNNNNNNNNNNNNNNNNNNNNNNNNNNNNNNNNNNNNNNNNNNNNNNNNNNNNNNNNNNNNNNNNNNNNNNNNNNNNNNNNNNNNNNNNNNNNNNNNNNNNNNNNNNNNNNNNNNNNNNNNNNNNNNNNNNNNNNNNNNNNNNNNNNNNNNNNNNNNNNNNNNNNNNNNNNNNNNNNNNNNNNNNNNNNNNNNNNNNNNNNNNNNNNNNNNNNNNNNNNNNNNNNNNNNNNNNNNNNNNNNNNNNNNNNNNNNNNNNNNNGGGGUCCCGUGUGCAUGGUACAUGUACCGAGGACACGGGGUCACCAGGGACUUCGCGGGGACCCGUGGGCAUGGGGUGGGGAGCCCGUGGGCACGGGGUAGGUGGAAAUUUCGUGAUUUUCUUGUCAAAUUCGAUGGGGGAAAGAAAAAUUGGGGUAUGGGGAUGCAAGAGGGGGGUAGAUCUACUUGCUAUACAUCAGAUCCACGGAUCAAAAUCAACAAAAACUCACAAAAACUUCAAAUCACAAAAAAUUUGGUAUGGCUCUUUUUGUGGGGAAUUUUCGAAAUUGGGCAAGAACAACCAAAAUUAGGCUAGAAAACAAGGAGGGGGGCUCCAAUUUCGUGAGAAACCUUGGCUCUAGAUACCAAUAUGUUGUAGGGUGGAGACCCUAAGAGGGAUAUUUUCACACUUGGAGGGGAAAAAAGAAAUGAACAACAAGAACACAAAGGGGAAAUCACUCCAACAAUACCCAAUUACACAUCCAUUAGAAUAACACCACAAGAUCCACAAGUCACAAACACAAUCAAAGGAAAGAUACAAUGGCAAAGUUCUUCUCACUCCUAGGAGAUGAGGUCUUGAAGAUAGUCUUCUCCUUAUGGAGGUCUUGAAAUCCACAAGGAUUCUUCCCUAAGGGGUCUUGAUCCACAAGAGGGAAGGUAGAAGGAGCAAAGCUCACAAAUAUCUUAGCUAAUACUUUGCUCGAGUCCCAUGGUCAUCUCCAUGUACACCGUCAUAGCAGCUCGAGUCCCAAGUGGACCUACAGGAAUUAAGGUGAACCCGCUCUUCUUCGAGAAUAUCAUGAAUAUCCAUGGUACUUGCUUGCUACCUCACCAAAGUGCUCUAUGUGUCCUUAGAUACGAAGACCGACGACCACAAGCUGGUGAGGAACACCACAAAGGAGUAGGAGAAGGACCCCAAGGCCACAAGGAGGAAGAAGGAGUGCAACAAGAUCAACUCUGCACCUCCCAGGCGACCCCGUGCCCACGGGUCUCGAAGACCCCGUGCACACGGACUACUCAAAGAGCUGGCGCCGGAGCACCCCAUGCGCACGGGCUUGUACCGUGCCCACGGGACCCCCGUGCGCACGUGCCCAACUUACCCCGUGCACACGGGCCCAUCAAGAUGGACGGCUGUGAGCUGCUAUUGGGCUUCCACUUCGUCCCCUCCUUCCACCUACCUAUAUAUUUCAUACCUAGACCAUAUGUUAGGGAUAGCAAAGUAUUUGAUAGACAAAGUGAAAGGAUCAAUAUAGUUGACUAGAGGGGGGGGGGGUGAAUAGGCAACUAACAAUUUUUAGCUUUUCUUUACCAAAUUAAACUUUGCAUCAAUGUAGGUUGUCUAGAUAUGCAACUAGGUGCGCAACCUAUAUGAUGCAACAACAACAAGCACACUAGCAAGCAAGGGAUAUAACACACAUAAGCUUGCAAAAGUAAAGGCAUGAGAUAGCCAAGAGUGGAGCCGGUGAAGACGAGGAUGUGUUACCGAAGUUCCUUCCUUUUUAAGAGAAGUACGUCUUCGUUAGAGCAGUGUGGAGGCACAAUGCUCCCCAAGAAGCCACUAGGGCCACCGUAUUCUCCUCACGCCCUCACAAAAUGCCCUUGGAGGCGGCAACCGGACCUUUACAAACAAGGUUGGGGCUCUCUCCACAACUGAAUUGGAGGCUCCCAACAAAACCAUGGAGCUUCACCACAAUGGAAUAUGGCUCCGAGGUGACCUCAACCGUCUAGGGUGCUCAAGCACCCAAGAGUAACAAAAUCCACACAAGAAAGUAUGGGGGAAACAAAUAUCCUUUGGUGGAAGUGUAGAUCUAGGUCUCCUCCUUCAGUCCUUAGCACAUCAACAAGUUUGAGUGGCUAGAAAGAGAGAUCGGGCAAGAGAGCUUGAGAGCAUUAAUGGUGGAGUGAGAGAGGUAAGAGGUGAAUGUGGUAGGUGGAAGAAGCACCCUUAUAUAGCAACCCUAAAAAUCCAACCAUUACUGCAUUUUCUGUAAUGUAGCGGUACAACCGCUCCUUGUCCCGGUACAAUCGGGACUCAUGGUUUAUGUGCAGAACCCUACCAGGCGGUAUAACCGGGCGACUAGGCAGUAGUACCGGUUUAAGAGAACAACCGGACCAAUCGCCCAGCCACCGCUCACCCACCGCAUAGAAAUAGUAGGGAGUCACCCCUGAGUGCGGUAGUCAAGCGGUACAGGACCGAUGCAACCGCAUGGCCUUGAGCGCUCGGGCGGCUAAGUCUUGAGCGGUAGAACUGCUCCGGGCACCGGUGGUACCGGUACGACCGAACCAACCAGGCCACCACCGCCCGAGUACCGCAUCAAAAUAGAAGUUUGACCGGUACUUGGGCAGUACUUGACCGGAACAACCGCCGUAGUCUUUGCUGAGCAUGAUGGCGGUACCACUGCCCGGAAGCAGCGGUACAACCGCUCGAUCAAGACAGGUAAGCGUCAAGAACUAGUGGUACAACCGCUCCAGAGAGCGGUACAACCGCUGGGAAGCCACAUAAGCAGUAGGAUAAGAAGGGAAAAGCUCUCUCUCACAACUAAGAAAGGCAAGAGAGGGGAGAAGCAAGUGUACGUGAGAAUAUUCCCCCAACACCUUCCAAUGAGAAUUCCCUCUUGAUAGUACAGGUUCCCUAUGACCAAAGAGAUAAAAAGCAUAGACAACACCGUCUAUAGACAACACCGUCUUUGAUCUUUUCCUUCCAGAGAGAAACUCUAUCCAAUGAAGGCCUAACCACCGUGAACCUGAAGCACUUUAGCACAAGAUUAGACUAACAAAUGGUUGUCAUCAUCAUCCAAAACACAAAGUAGGGAAAUGCCCUUACAAUCUCCCCCUUUUUGGUGGAUGAUGACAACAACACGAUUUGCAAGAGAGAAGUCUAGAAAAUGUAGACGGGACUCCCCCUAGAUUUGUGCCCCAAAUUGAGAAGACUAUUUGAGAACACUCAUUGGGGACAAGACUCCCCCUAGAUUUUAUAGACUCACCACUCCUACUCAACUGUGGAAGUAAGCAAAAGGACCAUACUAAGAAGGUAGGGAUCAUAACGAAUAAAGCAACAAUAUCACCGAUAAUGAAGAUAGAUAGAUAAACGCAUGUCUUACACCAUGCACGAAGAGAUAAGCAACAAGGUUCACAAGCCAAAGUUCAACCACACGAAUGGAAGGAAACGAAAGAAAAGCACAAGCCCACCCAUGCAAAUCCCAAGACCUAUAGAACUCUCUCCCCCUUUGGCAUCAAAACACCAAAAAGGAAAAGAGCGAAGCUAGCGCCCCAAAGCUCAGUCGUCCUCCUCUGACUCCUCGGUAGCAUCUGGAUCCUCAUCAUCAUCAGACACGUCAUCGUCGUCGUGAUCAGAUUCCUCCAAGAUAUCAUCAGCUACAGUAAAGGAGGUGGAGGGCUGGCGAGGGACCUCAUCAUCAGACCACGUGCUGUGUGCAGAGAUCCAUCGCUCCUCCGGUGUGAUGCUAUUCUUAGAACCACUCUGGACAGACAUGUUGAGGUGCCUCAUCAUCGCAAUCUGACAAUGCCGGGCAUGCUUCUCAUUGACAUGGGCCUCAUACAUCCUCUUCUGGAUGUGAGACUGGAGGAAGAAAGUCUUCUUCACCUUGGCAGUGAGCUUGUCCACCCAAGAGAGCUUGGCCCCUGGCUCCAACUCAAAGUCCUCAUCGUCAGAAGUGUCAUAGACAUCCUCAGGAGCAUCAGCAGGAAAUCGAGGCUCGGCAUACUUCUUCUUGAAGUGUUGCACCGGGUUGAGAUAAAUCUUGAUGGCACUUUCAUUGUCACACCAAAGAGGCACUUCGUCACAAAUGACACCGUAAUCCUUCAAAGUUUGCCUCAUCCAAAGAAGUUGAGCACAACAACUACCGGCAGCCACAUACUCCGCUUCGGUGGACGAGAGAGAUACACAACUUUGCUUCUUGGAAGACCAACUCACUAAAGAGCAACCAAGUAAUUGGCACCCUCCUGAGGUGGACUUCCUAUCUACCUUGUCUCCCGCCCAAUCUGAAUCUGUAUAGCCCAAAAGAUCAAAGCUGGCUCCUCUUGGCUACCAUAAGCCAAAGUUUGGGGUAUGAGCAAAAUAUCGAAAGAUUCUCUUGACUGCCACAAAGUGACUUUCCUUAGGUGCGGCUUGAAACCAUGCACAAAUACCCACACUUAACAUGAUAUCUGGUCUAGAUGCACAAAGGUAAAGCAAGGAGCCUAUCAUGGAGCGAUAUAGCUUUUGAUCCACCGCUUCACCAUUGGGAUCAAUGUCAAGUUGGCACUUGGUGGGCAUUGGAGUGGGCGCCGUCAAGCCGUUAUUCUCGUCAAACUCUACGUUACACGUCUCCUCAAUGAGUCCGAUGGACUUGUUGAGGACACGGUAAGCAUGAGAGUUUGUAGCAUAACCAACAAAUAUACCCUCACAAGCUCUAGCCUCAAAUUUAGACAAACGAACACCUUUCUUGAGAAUGAAACACUUCCACCCGAACACCCGGAAGUACUUGAGGUUGGGAUUGUUACCGGUAAGUAUUUCAUAAGGAGUCUUGUUCAAGCCUUUGCGGAGAUAGAGCCGAUUGGAUGCAUGACAUGCUGUGUUGAUGGCUUCAUCCCAAAAGUUGUAUGGAGACUUGAACUCUGCCAUCAUGGUCCUUGCCGCAUCCAUUAACGUCCGGUUCUUCCUCUCCGCGACACCAUUUUGUUGAGGGGUAUAUGGUGCAGAAUAUUGAUGCUUGAUCCCCUCAUCACUAAGAAACUCAUCCAAGGUGUAGUUCUUGAACUCGAUGCCGUUGUCACUUCUUAUUGUCAAGAUCUUUGCAUCAUGUUGACGUUGAGCUUCAUUUGCAAAGUCGAUGACGGUUUGUUGAGUCUCACUCUUCCUCUUGAAGAAGUAUACCCAAGUGUAUCUUGAAUAAUCAUCCACAAUCACUAAGCAAUACUUUCUACCUCCAAGACUAUCAAAGGAUGGAGGCCCAAAGAGAUCCAUGUGAAGGAGCUCCAAGGGUGUCUUCGAGUAGAUGAUAGUCGUGGGAGAGUGAGCCUUCUCAUGAAGAUUUCCUUCGAUACAAGCACUGCAAGCAUGAUCUUUGGCAAAACUAACAUUUGUUAGUCCACGGACAUGGUCCCCCUUGAGAAGACUUUGCAAAGAUCUCAUAUUGACAUGCAUGCCAAAGCCAUCCCACAUCAACUUUAGCCAUUAGGUCGCGGUCUUAGUGGGUCGCUCCGAAAAGUUAAUCACAUAGAGACCAUUCUCGACAUGCCCAACAAAGGCUACUUUAAGAGUCUUGCUCCACAAGAGGGCCAUGGUAUCAAUAUCAAAGAAAGUGGCAAAGCCCAUGAGUGCAAGUUGACGAACGGAAAGUAGAUUGUAAGCAAGGGACUCAACAAGCAUGACUUUCUCGAUCUUUAGAUCAUGAGAAAUGACAACCUUUCCAAGACCCAAUACCUUAGAAGACUAGGCAUCACCCCACUCGACGUUGGUGGGCAUAGGAGGGAUCUUGUGCACGUCCACCACCAAGUCCUUGCUUCCGGUCAUAUGAUUUGUUGCUCCACUAUCGAGAAACCAUGAUCCCCCAUCGGAAGCAAACACCUACAAGAGAUCAAUGCUUGGUUUUAGGUACCCAUUUUGUAAUGGGUCCUGGGAUGUUAGUAACAAGGGUCUUAGGAACCCAAAUAGACCAUUCAAUGUACUCAUAAGGAGAACCAACAAAUUUAGCAUAAACAUGCCCAUCACUAGCACGACACAACACAUAAAAAGGGUUAAAGUCGCCGACUUUGUUGGAAGGGGUGGCAUUGCCCUUUUUGACACCACCACCCUUCACAUUGUUCUUAUUCUCCUUAGGAGCACCCUCUCCCUCCUUCACAAAAGUUUGCUUGAGAGGAGGAGGUCGUUUGGCCUUGUCAUUCUUAUUCUUGUUCUUGGACUUGGGUGCGAACCCAACUCCCUCCUUGGCCACAACUUCCUUUUGAUUGCGCAAAAGGUCAUUGAGGUUCUUCUCACCUUGUAUGCACGUCACAAGGCCUUUCUCAAGUUGAUUCUUCAACUUGGCAUUCUCCUCCACAAGAUGCACAUGCUCACAACACGGGUUAGUGGCAUUUGCAUUAUCAAUUAAUACCAUAUGAGGAAAGGUGGCCUUUUCUUUGGUUAGCUUCACUUGGAGUUGAUCAUGAGACUCCUUGAGGCUAGCAUGAGCACCCUUCAAGACCUUGUGGGCCUUGUCGAGUAUAUCAAACUCCUCCUUGAGUCUAACAUGGUCAACACCAAGUUUAGCCUUCUCAAAAGUUAGCACACGAGAUACAACAAGAGCAUGAUCAUGAUCUUACUUUAACUUAGCAUGGUCAUCAUUGUGUGACUCCUCAAGAGCCAAACGAUCUCCACACUCUUCCUCAAGAGCAUUAGAGAGACCCAAUAUCUCAUCGGCAUAGUCAGGACUAUGACCUUCCAUCUUAAAGAUGGUUUCUUCAUGAGCCUCGAUCAUGUCAUUGGCUUCACCAAGUUGUUCCAAGAGAGCAACAAAGUGCUUCUUGGAUUUGCCCUUAAGCUUACUCAUAAAAGACUCAAAUUCAUUUACUUCCUCAUUAGACCCCUCACUUUCAUCAAUGCCAUCCGUCAAGGAGGGAUUAGUGAUGAUGGUAGUUUGAUGUUGGGGGUUACCUUGUUGGUGGCUUUAGCCAUGAGACACUUGGCAGUGAUGUUCUCGUUGGGCGAGUCGAAGAGGGACACCCGUGGAUUUGUGGCAAUGGCAACCAAGGCCAUGACCAUGGAUUCACUAUCUUCAUCAUCAUCGUCAUCCUCAUGGUACUCUUCUGGAACCACCAACCCUCGAGUAGGAGUCUUUUUGGUGAAGUUGUUCUUGUUUGGGAAGGACUUGGCUUUGUCUUUUCGGAUGAGCUUGCCACCAUUGUCUUCCUGCUUCUCGUAAGGACAAUCCACAACAAAGUGGCUCACAUUGCCACAAUUGUAACAUGUUCUCACACGUUUCUUGCCCUUGAACCCACUUGAGUUGUUCUUGUUGAAGUUGGGCCUUGGGUUCUUCCUGCUCGAAAAUUGCCUUGAAGCAAGAGCCAUGUGCUCAUGGUAAUCAUAUUUUGUAUCUUCGGGGUUACUCUCCUCAUCUUCCUCUUCUUCCUCUUCUUCCACAAUAACCUUGGCCUUCAAAGCAAGGUUGGGAUUCUUUGCUCUUUGAGAAUGCAACACCGCGUUGUCGGCGGUCUUGUCCAAGAUCCUCAUUGCCACAAACUCAUCCAACACUUCAUUUGAGGUCAAGGAGUGGAAGUCCGGUCUUUGACGGAUGACGGAGGGCAUGGCCUUGUGGUAAGGCAUCAUUGCUUUGAGGAACUUGCACUUGAUCCAAUUGUCAUCUGUGUCCUUGCUCCCAUGAUCUCGGAGUGCGACCGCGAGUUUGGUUACUCUCCGAAAGAGCUCAGAGGUUCUUCAUCUUCUUUCAUUACAAACUCAUCGGCUUCAUCUUGCACCACUUCAUAGUUGGAGCGUUGAAUGCUAGCGCUUCCCUUAUAGAGAGAAACAACACAAUGCCAUGCAUCUUUGGCCAUGGCGAAGGGUCGAAGAUGAGGGAGAUCUUCAGGUGGAACCGCAUCUUGAAUGAUGAAGAGAGCAUUCUCAUUGAAUUGAUUAUCCAAGACUUCUCUCGGGGUGAAGUUGCUUCGGUAUGUGGAUGGAAACCUUCUUUAAUGAUUCUCCAAAGAUUAGUAUUCACAUGAUUUAAAUGACGCUUGAAGCGAUAAACCCAAGAAUCAAAGUCCUCAUUUUUCACAAUCUUAGGAGGAGGACCGGCAUGAUUUAAAUGAGUAGAGGGAAUCGGUCCUCCAUAAAUUGGAGGUUCCACAUUGGCAAAGAUGCCGGUGCCAUUUCUACCACUAGUAGAAGGACCCUUUUCACUAGUAGCCCCCCCCCUUGUCGGAGUUAGCAUCCGUCACCUUGUUAGUGGGAUCACCCACUUUCAUUGGUGAUGUAGAUAGUUUAAAUCCUUCUAAGAAUUUAUUAAACAUGCUUUCAACCUCGGUUGUCAUGGAGAUAUUCAAUGUGUCCAAAGCCACAUUGAAUUCCUCACGAGAAACCGCGGUUCCCCCAUCGGCCGUAGAUGAGCUCGGAUUCACACCGGAGUGCUCCUCCACACCGUCUACAGUGUCAACCAUACUCUUCGGACGGCAAAGUCCUUAAUAUAGAGACGAGGCUCUGAUACCAAUUUAAAGGAUCGAUAUAGUUGACUAGAGGGGGGGGGUGAAGCAAAUAGGCAACUAACAAUUUUUAGCUUUUCUUUACUAAAUUAAACUUUGCAUCAAAGUAGGUUGUCUAGAUAAGCAACUAGGUGCGCAACCUAUAUGAUGCAACAACAACAAGCACACUAGCAAGCAAGGGAUACAACACACAUAAGCUUGCAAAAGUAAAGGCAUGAGAUAACCAAGAGUGGAGCCGGUGAAAACAAGGAUGUGUUACCGAAGUUCCUUCCUUUUUAAGGGAAGUACGUCUCCGUUAGAGCGGUGUGGAGGAACAAUUCUACCUAAGAAGCCACUAGGGCCACCGCAUUCUCCUCACGCCCUCACACAAUGCGAUAUGCCGUGAUUCCACUAUUGGUGCUCUCGGAGGCAGCAACCAGACCUUUACAAACAAGGUUGGGGCUCUCUCCACAACUGAAUUGGAGGCUCCCAACGAAACCAUGGAGCUUCACCACAAUAGAAUAUGGCUCCGAGGUGACCUCAGCCGUCUAGGGUGCUCAAGCACCCAAGAGUAACAAAAUCCACACAAGAAAGUAUGGGGAAAAAAUCCUUUGGUGGAAGUGUAGAUCUAGGUCUCCUCCUUCAAUCCCUAGCACAUCAACAAGUUUGAGUGGCUAGAGAGAGAGAUCAGGCAAGAGAGCUUGAGAGCAUUAAUGGUGGAGUGAGAGAGGUAAGAGGUGAAUGUGGUAGGUGGAAGAAGCACCCUUAUAUAGCAACCCUAAAAAUCCAACCGUUACUGUGUUUUCUGUAAUGUAGCGGUACAAUCGCUCCUUGUCCCGGUACAACCGGGACUCACAGCUUACGUGCAGAACCCUACCAGGCGGUACAACCGGGCGACUAGGCGGUAGUACCGGUUUAAGAGAACAACCGGACAAACCACCCAUCCACCGCUCAACCACCGCAUAGAAACAGUAGGGAGUCACCCUUGAGUGCGGUAGUCAAGCGGUACAAGACUAGUGCAACUGCAUGGCCUUGAGCACUCGGGUGGCUAAGUCCUGAGCGGUAGAACCACUCGGUACAGGACUGGUGCAACCGCAUGGCCUUGAGCGCUCGGGCAGCUAAGUCCUGAGCGGUAGAACCGCUCCAGGCACCGGUGGUACCGGUACGACCAGACCAACCGGGCCACCACCGCCUGAGUACUGCAUCAAAGCAGAAGUCUGACGGGUACUUGGGCGGUACUUGGCCGAAACAACUGCCAUAGUCUUUGCUGAGCAUUAUGGCGGUACCACCACCCGGAAGCAGCGGUACAGCCGCUCGAUCAAGACAAGUAAGUGUCAAGAACCAGCGGUACAACCGCUCCAGAGAGUGGUACAACCACUGGGAAGCCACAGAAGCAGUAGGAUAAUAAGGGAAAAACUCUCUCUCACAACUAAGAAAGGCAAGAGAGGGGAGAAGCAAGUGUAUGUGAGAAUAUUCCCCCAACACCUUCCAAUGAGAAUUCCCUCUUGAUAGUACGGGUUCCCUACAACCAAAGAUAUAAAAAGCAUAGACAACACCGUCUUUGAUAUUUUCCUUCCAGAGAGAAACUCUAUCCAAUGAAGGCCUAACCACCGAGAACCUGAAGCACUUUAGCACAAGAUUAGACCAACAAAGGGUUGUCAUCAUCAUCCAAAACACAAAGUAGGGAAAUUCCCUUACACAAAGAGAGAGCUUUGCUCAUCUUCCUCCUCAUGGAGAUAAUGACCUCCUAAGGGAGAAGAUCCACUUGUGGAUAUCAAGGCCUCCUCUUGGAGAAGGAUCCCCAUCAUAGGAUCAUCAAGACCUCUCUCCUCAUAGGAUUGGGAUGAACUAGUACCUUGUGUCUUUCCCUUGUUGUCCUUGGAUUCAUUGUGACCUCUUGUGUGUUCUUGGAUCUAGCAUAUGUGUGAUUGGAUCUAGUCAAUUUGAGUGUUUCUCCUCUCUUGUGUUCUUCGUGUUCUUUGUGUUCUUGGGGAUUUCCCCUCCAAUUCGUGAAAGAUCUUCCCUUAGGGUUCCACCCUACAACAUCUUGGUACCAUGAGCCAUGGUUGAUCACAAAAUUGGAGCCCCUCUCUUUGUUUUCUAGCCUUGUUUUGUGUGAUUUCGUCCUAAAUUCAAAAAUUCCCCACCAAAAAUAGCCCCAAUUUUUUUGUGAUUUGUUGGUUUGAUGAGGUUUUGUUGGAUUUGGUCCAUGGAUUUGCUUGGUUUCAAGUGGAUCUAGCUUUCCCCCAUCUUUUCCCCACCAUCCAUCCCCAAAAUCUCUCCAAUUUUGCCCAAGAAGUAUCCAAUUUCCGCCACGAAAUCGUGAAAUUUCCGCCUACCCCGUGCCCACGGGCUCCCCACCCCAUGCCCAUGCCCCCCUGCGAAGUCUCUGGUGACCCCGUGUCCUCGGUAUGUGUACCAUGCGCACGGGACCCCGUGUCCACGGGCCCUGGACCCCGUGCGCUUUAUGUUUUCGCCCAUAACUUCCACAUCUGGAGUCCGAUUAUCGCGUUCUUUAGCUUGUUGAGUAGCUAUUGACAUCCCCCAUCCAUCUAGAUAGGUUCCAACACCAUUUGACUCCACCAAAUUUUUGACAACUUGGCAUAUUUGCCUAGGCCCUCCACCAUAGCCUUCCGCAACCUAGCCCAUUUUGCCCCAUUUAGUAAUUGUGGUUGUUUGAGUAGUGACUUGAGUCUCCUAAGGUGUUUCGGCUACUUAGGAGCGGUUGCUUCUUUAUCAACCUCCGCCACCACUUCUGCAUUGCCAUCUCCGCUACCACCAUUUGACUUUUUCGUAUGAUAUUUUGAGUUUGCGGUUUUUACCGUUUCCUAAGGUGUUUCGGCUACUUAGGGAUGGGUCUACUUCAUCUUGGUAUCUAUGAUUGGGAGUUCCGUUGCCGCAAGCCUCUAUAGCCACGAAAAACCAAUCCGGAGCCCGUUCCGGCACCCUGCCAGAGGGGGAAACCAUCACCAGUGGCCAUAUUCAUCAUCCCGACAUUCUCCAUGAUAAGGAGGGAGUAGUUCACCCUUGGGGCUGAGGGUAUAUACCAGUAGUUAUGUGUUUGAUCUCUCUCUCUCUUGUGUUUUUGAUUUGGCACGAUCUUGAUGUACCGUGAGCGCUGUUAUUAUAGUUGGAUCAUAUGGUGUUUCUCCCCCUCUACCUUAUUAUGAUGAAUUGAGUUUUACCUUUGAGGUUUCACUAUUAUCGGAUUGAAUACUAUUAUGGAUUUGAGAACACUUGAUGUAUGUCUUGCGUGGGAUACCCGUGGUGAAAAUGGGUUGUUCUAUUGAUUCACUUGAUUAUGUUUGGCACUCAACUUGCGGAUUCCUAGGUGACAUUGGGGUAAUCUAUGCAUAGGGGUUGAUGCAAGUUUUUGUCCUUGUUUCUCCAGUAGAAUCUUGGGACACUCUCUGAAGUUCUUUGUGUUGGAUUGAAUAUUAUGAAUUCGAAGUUGUUUGAUGCAUAUCGUAUAAUUGACUCAUGGAUACUUGUGGUGACAUUGGAGUAUCUAGGUAACAUUAGGGUUGAUUGAUGUGUCUUAUAUGGUGUUAUUUUACUACAAACUCUAGGGCUGUUUGUGACACUUAUAGGAAUAGCUCAACGGAUUGAUCAGAAAGAAUAACUUUGAGGUGGUUUCAUACCGUACAAGCAAUGUCAUCUUAUGUUCUCCGCGAUAGGAACUUUGGAGUGACUUUUUUCGCACAUUGAGGGAUUAUCAUAUGAUCUAAUUAUGUUAUCAUUGUUGAGAGAACUUGCACUAGUGAAAGUAUGAACCCUAGGCCUUGUUUCCAUGCAUUGCAAUACCGUUUUUAGUCACUUUUGUUACUCCCUACUUUGCUAUUUUUAUAUUUUCAGAUUACAAAAACCUAUAUCUACCAUCCUUAAUGCACUUGUAUCACCAUCUCUUCGCCGAACUAGUGCACCUAUACAAUUUACCAUUCUAUUGGGUGUGUUGGGGACACAAGAGACCCUUUGUUAUUUGGUUGCAGGGUUGUUUGAGAGAGACCAUCUUCAUACUACGCCUCCCACGGAUUGAUAAACCUUAGGUCAUCCACUUGAGGGGAAUUUGCUACUGCCCUACAAAACUCUGCGCUUGGAGGCCCAACAUGAGUCUACAAGAAGAAGGUUGCGUAGUAGACAUCAAGCCCUUUUCUGGCGCCGUUGCCGGGGAGGUGCGUGCUUGAAGGUAUAUCUUUUUAGAUCUUGAAAUUGAAUCUAUUAGCUUCUUUUUUAUCACUAGUUUGGUUUAUAAAAGUAAACUACAAAAAAAUGGAAUUGAGGUUGCCUCAUAUGCUUCAUCUUUUUAUUAUCUUUCGUGAAAAUGAUGGAAAGGAAAUUGUGCUCAAGUGUUAGAAGAAGAAGUCUAUAGAAUGUUUGACACUAAAGAUUUGAAUGAUGAGCAUGAUUGUAAUGUUGUUAGUUUGAAUUCUUUGAAUAUCGAUGAUGCUAAUGAUAUGCAAAGCUACAAGCUUGGGGAUGCUAUGUUUGAUGAAGAUGAUAUUUUUACUCCCCCAAGUUUUGAUGAGCAAAUUUAUUAUGAUGAUAGCAUGCCUCCUAUUUAUGAUGAUUAUGUUGAUGAGAGUGGAUUUGGAGAGGUCAUGACUUUAUUUAGUGAUGAAUCCACUAAUUCGGAAGAGGUUCCAAUUGAUUAUGAGAACAAAGUUGCUACCUACGAUGAUUAUUGUGAUGACAUGUAUGCUAUAAAGAAUAAUGAUAACCAUGAAACUUAUCAUCAUGAUUUUAAUUUUCAAUUGGAUUAUGCCUCACAUGAUAGGUAUUUUGUUGAAUUUGCUCCUCCCACUGAUGACCCACAAGUAUAGGGGAUCUAUUGUAGUCCUUUCGAUAAGUAAGAGUGUCGAACCCAACGAGGAGCAGAAGGAAAUGACAAGCGGUUUUCAGUAAGGUAUUCUCUGCAAGCACUGAAAUUAUCGGUAACAGAUAGUUUUGUGAUAAGAUAAUUCAUAAUGGGUAACAAGUAACAAAAGUAACUAAGGUGCAGCAAGGUGGCCCAAUCCUUUUUAUAUCAAAGGACAAGCCUGGACAAACUCUUAUAUAAAGCAAAGCGCUACCGAGGACACAUGGGAAUUGUCGUCAAGCUAGUUUUCAUCAUGCUCAUAUGAUUCGCGUUCGUUACUUUGAUAAUUUGAUAUGUGGGUGGACCGGUGCUUGCGUACUGACCUUCCUUGUAUAAGCAUCCCACUUAUGAUUAACCUCUCUCACGAGCAUCCGCAACUACGAAAGAAGAAUUAAGGUAAACCUAACCAUAGCAUGAAACAUAUGGAUCCAAAUUAGCCCCUUACGAAGCAACGCAUAAACUAGGGUUUAAGCUUAUGUCAGUCUAGCAACCCAUCAUCUACUUAUUACUUCCCAAUGCCUUCCCCUAGGCCCAAAUCAUGGUGAAGUGUCAUGUAGUCGACAUUCACAUAACACCACUAGAGGAGAGACAACAUACAUCUCAUCAAAAUAUCGCACGAAUACCAAAUUCACAUGAUUACUUAUAACAAGACUUCUCCCAUGUCCUCAGGAACAAACGUAACUACUCACAAAGAAUAUUCAUGUUCAUAAUUAGAGGGGUAUUAAUAUGCAUUAAGGAUCUGAACAUAUGAUCUUCCACUGAAUAAACCAACUAGCAUCAACUACGAGGAGUAAUCAACACUACUAGCAACCCACAUGUACCAAUAUGAGGUUUUGAGACAAAGAUCAGAUACAAGAGAUGAACUAGGGUUUUAGAGGAGAUGGUGUUGGUGAAGAUGUUGAUGGAGACUGACCCCCUCUCAAUGAGAGGAUCGAUGGUGAUGACGAUGGCAAUGAUUUCCCCCUCCCGGAGGGAUGUUUCCCCGGCAGAACAACUCCGCCGGAGCCCUAGAUUGGUUCUGCCCAGGUUCCACCUCGAGACAGCGGCGCUUCGUCCUGAAAGCUUCCUUAUGAUUGUCCAGGGCAAAAGACACCAUAUAGCAUAAGAUGGACGUCGGGGGCCUCCCAGGGAGCCCACGAGGCAGGGGGCGCGCCCAAGGGGGAUAGGGCGCACCCUCCACCCUCGUGGAUGACUGGUGCCCCCCCUCUGGUGCUUUCUUCGCCCAAUAUUUUUAAUAUAUUUUGAUACUGAUUUCCAUGGAGUUUUAGGACUUUUGGAGUUGUGUAGAAUAUGUCUCUAAUAUUUGCUCCUUUUCUAGUCCAGAAUUUCAACUGCUGGCAUUCUCCCUCUUCAUGUAAACCUUAUAAAAUAAGAGAGAAAAGGCAUAAGUAUUGUGACACAAUGUGUAGUAACAGCCCAUAAUGCAAUAAAUAUUGAUAUAAAAGCAUGAUGCAAAAUGGACGUAUCAACUCCUCCAAGCUUAGACCUCGCUUGUCCUCAAGCGAAAGCCGAUAUCGAAAAAUAUCACUACAAAAAAAAUACACUUCCGUGAUGAUACAUGUUUGUCAUAGUAGGUCGCGUUCUUUGUCAUGCAUGUACAUCCAUGACGAUUUUAUGACAGAAUCAAGAUAGUCAUACAUGUGCUGUCGUAGAAGUGCUCCAUGACAUUACCAAAAUUAUCAUCACAGAAGUGUCCACUUCCAUGACAAUAAAUCGCGCGUCACAGAAGUGAUUUCGUAAAGGGUGACCAACACGUGGCAUCCACCGUAACAGAACGCCGUUAAGCUAUCGGGUCCAGUUUUGGAUCCGAUAACCCGUUAACAGCCUGGACCAAUGGGGAUUUUCGACGCGUAAAAUCAUCAUUGACCGCAGGAAACACGUGUUGCCUCACCGUUGGGACAGAUGUCAUCCACUCAUUGGACAAGAGGCGCAUAUGAUAGGUCGACAUGUGGCACGGCCCAACAGUGGCCCAUUCCGAUAAAAAGGUCGGCCCAGUAAAAAUUAGCAGGCCGGCCCAUAUAAGGCCUACUUGUGUCAGGUCCAUUUAAGCCCACGACCCAUACGAGAUGUGCCAAUUCGGCCCGUCAAUGGCCCGUUAAAGAUUUGACACCAUUGUAGCCCAUCGUCAGUUCGAGCCCGUUAACAGCCUGCUAUAUAUUUGGGCUCAAUAUCGGCCCGAUGAGAUUUCGGCCUGUUAACGGCCCAUUCAAUGGAUGGGCCAAUUUUCAGGAUGUACAUCUUUCGGCCUUUUGGCGACCCAUUUAAAUGUUGGGCUAAUUUCCGGUCCGGUGUGUCUUUCAGCCUAUUGAUGGCCCAUAAAUCUGAUGGGCCAUUUGUAGUCGGACCUGAGUUUCGGCCUUUUAGCGGCCCAUUUAAGUGUUGGGCCAAUUUUUGGCCCGGUGUCACUUUCAGCCUGUUGACGGCUCAUAAAUCAGCUGGGCCAUUUGCAGUCGGACGUGAGUUUUGGCCUUUUAGCGACCCAUUUAAGUGUUGGGGCAAUUCCUGGCCCUGUGUGCCUUUCGGCCUGUUAACGGACCACAAAUGAGUUGGGCCAUUUGUAGUCGGACCUUAGUUUUGGCCUUUUAACGGCCCAUGCCCGUCAUGGUCCAAUACCAGCCCGGUUUCUCUUUCGGCCUGCUAAAGGCCCACAACACAGUUGGGCCAUUUACAAUACGACCCGACUUUUGGCCUGUUAGCGGCCCAUGCUCUUCAUGGUCCAGUACAAGCCCGCUGUCUCUUUAGGCCUGCUAAAGGCCUACAGUAUAGUUGGGCCAUAUGUAGCCCAAACUUAGUAACGGCCUGUUAACGGCCCGUGAAAUAAAUUGGGGCCACCUGUUGCCCGCUUCGAUGUCGGCCUGUUAACGACCCAGGAGGUAAUAGGGUCGACCAUUAACUUUCGGCCUAGUAACGGCCCAUUAACUUAAUGGGCCCACUAAAGUUCGUACAUGUCUUUAGGCCAAAUUAGAUAAUUUGAGCCCAUUACGACGAGCAAUUAUGCACAGGACCAAAACCGAUCAAGCAAAGGUACGACAUACAGGGAAUACCGUUGCACAUCCAGCAUAUAUUAUAGGAAAUAACAUCCACUGGGCAAUCAAAGAUUGAUGCCAGUGCAAAUAAAUGAGCAGAACCUAACCAUCUACAACGUCACAAUUUGCAACCUCAGCACAGAUGACGCCCAUAAGCAUGUGGCCAAGUUCUUGCUGCUUUGCUACACUGUCUCUAAAAACAUUGAUCAGUUGUUGUGUCGCACGACUCUGCACCUCUGAUUCAUCCACCAUUUCAAUCAUUGCUUCAGCCAUUAAUUGGUUCACAAACAUACAUUUAUUCCAUUGCAUUCGAGAGAGAGGAUACUAAACAAAUUCAAAUGGAGAUUUUGGCAGGCUUGUAUUAUUGAUAGUGGAGAGUGUCUCGACCACUGCAUCAUAACAUAAAUUAGGACGGAACCAAACAGAUUAAUCAUGAGUUAUUGCCAUAUUACCUGGCCAAGAUUUACUGGAAAGAAACAAUGGGGUUGCCUUGCUGUUUUCAGAGUUUGUCUUCUUAUCUUCAGCAGCCUGCACAAAAUUAACACACUAGCAUUGCUAUCAUUGGCGAAGCUAGAUAAUAGGAAAGCAACAUUGACACAAUGAACGUUUGGGCAACUAGCCUACAUCAAAUUAACACAAUAUGGCACAACUAUCAUUAGCCAGGUAAGGUAGUACGAAAGCAACAUUGACACAAUGAAUGAAUGGGCAACCAGAGAAGCACUACAAUUCAGUAAUGUGCGUGAUAUGAGAUAGUACAUUCAUGCAGCUCAGUAUGCAAAACUACCAGGCAGUUUUCCUUACAAAAAUCAACAUUGGCGCCUUUAACAUUUUUCUACAACUAAUUUUAGAUCAGAUAAAUGUUAGAUUCACGCCGAUUAACAAAAUACAUGUUGAUAUAAAAAUAUAGUGAUAUACAACAGGUACUUACAUCAGCAUUGGAGCACAGAGAAUUCCCGCAAGAUAUUUUCCUCGAAUACGAUCCCAAUGGAGGAAGUCUUCUAUCGUUUAACCUUAUUUUUUAAAAGAGAGAUGGGUAAGAAACAUGUAGAAAAUAUGAUUAGAAUGCUAUAAAAUUUCAUGAUGCGAGGAUACGCACACGCUUCUUAGAAUGGAGUUGACAUUCUUUUGCUGGACUGGAGCAGACUAGUUCUUUGGCCACUGGAAUGUGCUUAUUAUCAGUGGGAGUUGGGUUUCUCUGUGCUGGAGCAGUAUCUAUGAAAAAUGGAGUUGGUUUAUUAUCUCCUGGUGUUUGGAUCUUUUGCAAAGACCUGGUUUGUAACCCUUCAGAUUCUAACAUAGCCGUCUUCCCCUUGCAUGCCUUAUAUAGAGGAAUGGUGAUUCAGUUAUAAAACAUGCUACAACAGAGAUGGAAUAGGUACUGAAGAAUAGAAAGGCAUGACAUAUUGACAUGUAUUCCCUCUAUCCAGAAAUAAAUGGAUGGGUCUAGGCGUAUUUCAGUUCUAGAUACAUCCAGUUUUAUCCAUUUCUGCGACAUUUAGUUCGGACGGAGGGAGUAUGAUGUAAGAGCUAGGGAUACGACAGGACAACACAAUAAAAAAACACUGAAAAACCCACUGCAGAACCAAAGUAUUCAAACCCACUGAUAUGAGAUAGUACACUCAUGCAACUCAGGAUGCAAAACUACCAGGCAGUUUUCCUUACAAAAAUCAACAUUGUGGCCUUUAAUCAUACAUUUUGCUACAACUAAAUUUAGAUCAGAUAAAGGUUGGAUUCAUGCCGAUUAACAAAAUACAUGCUGAUGUAAAAAUAUAGUGAUAUACAACAAGUACUUACAUCUACAUUGGAGCAUAGAGAAUUCCUGCAAGAAUCUUUCCUCAUAAACGAUACCAUUGCAGAAAUUCUUCUAUCUGUUAAGCUUAUUUUCUAAUAGAGAGAUGGGUAAGAAACAUGUAGAAAAUAUGAUCAGCAUGCUAUAAAAUUUCAUGAUGCAAGGAUAUGCACACGCUUCUUAGAAUUGAGUUGACAUAUUUUUGCUGGACUGGAGCGGACUAGUUCUUUGGCCACUGGAAUCUGCUUAUUAUCAGUAGGAGUUGGGUUUCUCUGUGCUGGAGCAGUAUCUAUAAAAACUGGAGUUGGUUUAUUAUCUCCUGGCAUUUGGAUCUUUUGCAAAGGCCUUGUUUGUAACCCUUCAGAUUCUAACAUAGUCGUCUUCCCCUUGCAUGCCUUGUAUAGAAGAAUGGUGCUUUAAUUAUAAAACAUGUGACAACAGAGAGAUGGAAUAGGUACUAAAGAAUAGAAAGGCAUGGCAUAUUGACAUGUAUUCCCUCCAUCCGGAAAAAAUGGAUGGGUCUAGGCGUAUUUCAGUUCUAGAUACAUCCUUUUUUAUCCAUUUCGGCAACAUGUAAUCCGGACGGAGGGAGUAUGGUGUAAGAGCUAGGGAUACGACAGGACAACACAACAAAAAAA
rnacentral:lncRNA from 1 species